rnacentral:lncRNA from 1 species
CAAGAAUGCUCUGAGCAUGAACAAGGUUUGGGUUCCCAAUAUAUAGUCAAGGCUACCUUCAGAGAAGAUUUGGAAACUGGCCUUGAACCACACAGCCUCAUCAAAUGUGACACCAUUCUUGGAAAGGAUUUCAGGUUAAACACAGCCCAGUGCACCAAACAUGGCAAUACUGAUGCAACAUUCAAAGAAGCAACUGAUUAACAGAAUGCAAGAAGUCGAUCCAUCCUGGCUGAUUUUAUAAAUUUGAAAAGAGGUAAAAUCUAGGCUCAUAGUAGUCGUUGAGAUAUGUUAUAAUUUUUGCAGGUUUGAAUGAGUUCUGCUGAUAUCCAUCUCUAGCAUUGGUGAAAGAAUAUUAUUGUUGCAACCUAAUAAUCUAAGUGACAACAGGUAUACCAGAAAUACAUAUUCCACUCAGCUAUAUUAGCAAUAUCCGCGAGGAUCAAACAGAUUGAGUACAGAACUUGAAUGUCACAAAACAAGUACAAUUUUACAGCUGAGCAAUAAAAGUUACAUAUUUUCACUUUCCAGGAACAAAGUUGGUGGCGAAAGCCCAGGCAUUGUUGGCAACAGGGUCGGCUACAUGGUCAUAAAGGUUCUCAAUUGGACCCUUUCCGGUAACAAUAGCCUGGACAAAGAAUCCAAACAUUGAAAACAUUGCUAGUCUUCCAUUCUUGACCUCCUUUACCUUCAACUCUGGGAAUGCUUCAGGAUCAUCAGCCAAACCAAGAGGGUCAAAAGCCCCUCCUGGGUAAAGCGCGUCGAGUCCCUCACCAAGAGGACCUCCUCCAACUCUGUAUCCUUCAAUUAGUCCCAUGAGCACAACCUGAGUAGCCCAAAUGGCAAGAAUGCUCUGAGCAUGAACCAGGUUCGGGUUGCCAAGAUAGUCAAGGCCUCCUUCAGAAAAGAUUUGGGAUCCGGCCUUGAACCACACAGCCUCGCCAAAUGUGACUCCGUUCUUGGAAAGGAUUUCAGGGAAAACACAGCCUAGUGCUCCCAACAUAGCCCAUCUGCAGUGGAUCACCUCGAGCUCACGGUUCUUGGCAAAGGUCUCGGGGUCAGCUGAGAGCCCGGCAGUGUCCCAUCCAUAGUCACCAGGGAAUUCACCAGUAAGGUAUGAUGGAGUUUGCUCUGAGAACGGUCCCAAGUACUUGGGACGGUCAGGUCCGUACCUGUUAAUCAUACAACAAGUUUAGUAAUGAACAUAACAGCCCUCUUGUUCUGAUGGAGAGAAGAACCGUGAUUAGUUUUUUGAGAAAUUUUAAAAUAAAUAAUUUCAACGAAAUCUUUACUUAUACAAUGUUCAACUCUAUGUACUCCUCUAUCCGUAGAGUACAUUGAACAAUUAACAGCUACUACAAGAGUGAAUGUUUUUAUACUGUGCUAACGAUUUAAUAACUAUCUUUGUAACUUCAAAAUGUUUCAAUUUAUACUCCUAUCUAUUAUCUAGAUUUACGAACACGAUCAUAUUCCGCUACAAAUUCUAAUAAACAACCGGUUAUAGUAUACAAUUUAUUAUGAUACAUCGAAAAUUGUGCUUAAAAAGAAAAAUAAACAUAUAUUAUACAUAUUUUAUGUAACCAAUCACCCGCUAAUUUAAUUUGUAUUUGAGCAACUGUCUAUAUAAAAACCCGAAGACGGGACUAAAAAACUUACCAAAUGCUUUCGGGUGCACUUUUAACAGUACGUCUCAUGGUGAUCUUGCCACCACCAAAGCUGCCAACCUUCCUAACGAGCUCAUUCUGUGACUUGAGAGCUGUUUGGCCGGCGAAGGCGGAGUUUUGGAUCGCAGAGGUGGCCAUGUUUGUAUUUUAUUUUAUAGAUAUACAAAAGGCUUUCUUAGUGUGAGGAAGAAGCUUAGUGCAGGGAUGGUUUUGAGGGUGUUGCAGAGGAUGUCUUAUAACAUGGAAUGUGGAUUAGGAUUUCGAGAAAUCUCCACGUAGGCGACGUGUGAUUGGUCAGUUGGUGGAGUUGGAUUUCCGUUAUGAUUUUCUUCAUCUUGAGUUGAGGUUGCUGUGGUGCCAUGUGGCUGGUGGCUAGUCUGUAUCUUGUGGUGGUUCUUCGCUUGUUGUUAUGCAGUAGGGCAGGGGACUCUGUGACUGUGCACCACAUAAACUUGUGCUCUGUUUCUCUUUCACGGGUGUUACGAAUAACGGGAAUAAAAAUAAAAAUUAUUUAAUGAAGUUUAACGGUAUUCUAAAAAUUGAGAAUAAAAAUUACUCGUGAAAGUUUAACGAAUGAUUAAUUUAUUUAUUUUUGACAAUUUAAGCUUAUAUGUUUUACAAAUGAGUAUCUGUUUUAAUACUUCUCGGGAAAGCCAGAGUCGAACCCGGGUGUCCCGGGACAACAGAAGAUAAACCCACCAUCGAACUUCAAUAGUCAGACAGAUGAUUAAUUAGAAUUUUUUUUUGACAAAUAUGAUUUAUAGUCUUACAAAUUAAUUUGAUGAAUAAGAUAGAUUAAUAUAUGCGUUUCAAAAAAAGAUAGAUUAAUAUAAAUAAUAAAAUUAAUGAUAAUAUUAUAUGGGAUUUAGGGUCAAAUAUGCCUAAAUUCUGAAUUUUGUUAACGUUUUAAUUUUAAUUUUAAAAAGGUUAAUUUCGAUCGAUUUAUACAGGAUUUUUACGAAUAUUUGACCCGAUUAGUUGAAAUACUACUCUUGGACAAAUUUCCACUCAAUCAAAAGCGAAAUUCUCAGUCUACUGAUUAUCAAAAUAAUAGUAAAUUUUCAGAAAGCUACUUUUUCACUUCAUAGAAAGAAAAAUCUUUUAAAUUACGUCAUAAUUGUAACUUAAAAAUAGUUAAAAAUAUAUAACAAAAUGAAUAUGAAUUCUUUCAUCAUGUACACAACUUAGAUAUAACUUUGACUACCCCCAGAAUAGUAUGAUAAAUACAGGCUGAAUCUUUGAGAUCUUGUUCUUCGAAACUCAACUCAUGAUUGCAAGUCACUGUAGUUACAACAAUAGGCAUUACCGUAAUUCAUUUAAACAAAAUUACAAAAAUAUUAAUCAUUACUGUUCACUAUCCCUCCAUUGGAGAAGGACUCCCUUCCACCGUCAAAUCAGCAUGAAAAGUUCCCAGCAUGAUAGCAGUCAGCAUCAACUUCCCUGCUUCAGGAAAAUCCUUGUGCUGCAUAAGGAUUGCUUCAACAGAACCUGUUUCUUUUAAAGAAAAAGAAUCAGUAUUCUCUUGUCUCAGAGGAAGCACUUCCUCGAAACCUCCUUCAAAAGUUGCUGCAUUGGGUCCAUAGCACCUCCGAGAAGCUUGGAAAAGGAUAGUUUCUUUAAGAUACUCGUGGGUUUCUUCCUCACUCCAGCCUUCACUCAUAGAAGUUUGAUAAAUUUCCCCCCAUUCAUCCUCAUUAGCAGCAUUCCUCCAGCACUCCUCCAGUAGGCUUGCGUUGGAUUUAAUGAAAAAUGAUGUAGACCAAGCAAAAACAUCAAAAGCCCAAAUAGAAAGUUCUCGAUGCUGACUUCCAAGGCACAAUUGAAUAAGCUCAAGUGAAGGAAGAAGCCGCUCUCCAAUCUUCCGUGUUUCUUCAUUCUCAGGAAGGAGUUUUAAUAUUUCUUCCUAAAAUAGUCGAACAUAAACAAAGAUCGUCAAAAAUGUCACUCUACAAACUUAUUAGGAUAUGUAGGUUUUUUAUGCAAAAGGGAGGUGUGCCACGUUGUCAAAAACAAUUUCUAACAACGUUCAUAAAGGGAGUACAAGUAAUUAAAUACUCAACAAAAGACUGAAAACUAAAAACAACUAGAAAAGUUGUAAGCAGCUUAAGAACCUAACAGCAUUCAUACUGAAGAUUAUUGGCUGUGAACAAAGAGCACAUUAAAAAAAUAUCAGAUAUGACAAGUAAUUACAGCAAUUACGAAUUAAAAAAAAAGUAAUUUAUUUGUGCAUUGUUCACUAAAUUCUUUUUAAGUUGGAGGUAUGCUAUGUACAAAAUAAUACAGUAUUUUUUAUGGGAUGUUGAUGUGUUCUGUUAGCCAUGAAAGUGUUUACUUAUGCUCUAUUAUUCUGAAAAUGACCAUAAAAAUCAGUACAUGGUGUAGCACCUCCUUAGCCAUAAGAAUAUAAUUCCUUGGAUAACAAAUAUAGAUGCCAUGAAACACAUAAUCUGUGCAACUUCUACGGAAACUGAAAACAGGUAUAUAGUUUAGAAAUGCAUUUAAGAGCAGACCCAUUUUUUAUAUGCAGCAUACCUGCAAUUUCAGAAGCUUCAAAUCAGCUUCAAUCCGCUUUAACUUUGUGUCAUAAUCAGCAGACUUACCUGAGGGAUUUUGAGUAUAUAUCAACAGUUUUGAGCAGAGAAUUAAGAUUAAAGUAUUACAAUGACGAAUAUUUAUUACACUUUAUAUACUUUAUCAGCACACUAUUUUCAGAUAUAUAAUGCAACUUUAAUGCCACUAAACCGAUUAAUCCUCUCAAAUUUCAUGCCAAGCAGAAUCAUUAUAUGACAAGCCCAGGAGGGCAGUCUUAGAUCCUAGAUAAGUAGCAAAGAGAUCAAGUAAGAGAAAAGCAUUAGUUCAGAAGCAAAAACCUGCCAAUGCAGCUAUCUUUGAUAGAUUCAGAAAACGUUUCCUGUCUGCCAGUGUAGGUUCUAUAACUGGAUGAUGAGAUUCAAGCACCUCACUUUCUGGACUAAAGCCAGCAUUUUGAGAAAAAGCCAGUUUAUGGAGAGUUUCAGAGGCAGCGGAAAAUUGAUGAACGAACAACUGAUGAAGCCAGAGGAGGUCAUUAUGAAGCUUUAGGAAAGUAAGCAACUCUUCUGGAAACUCUUCCCCAAGUUUAAUUAGCUUGGAAAAUUGUUUAUUAUUGUACAGUUGCUCAAAAACAUAGUAGCUAAACCCUCCCUUUGGCCCCAUGCUCUCAUGCUGUAAAUUAAGAGAUUAAUGAGAAAAAUGAGAAGGUUAGAGGAAAACCAGUAUGCAAGUUGAAGCAGAACUUUUUGGGAUGAUACCAUAUAACUUCUAAGAAGGUCUGAAUCAUUGAGAUCACAACAUAUAGUCCACAGUGUUUGAUAACCCUCAUGGCGGUUAGCAAUUGACAAUAAACGAGAAGACAGCUGUCUGAAUAUCUCCUCACCCUGCUCUUCAUCUCCUUCACUCAAAUCCUGCAAAAAGGAAGAACUUGUUUAGAAGAUUACAUAUUGCCCUAAAUUUAUCACCAUACCACGACGACUUUAACAUCUUUUCUAAAUAUAGCAGACCACUUCAGGGUGGAGGGAAACGGAGAAGGACGUUGAGUCGUUGACAAAAGAAAAUAAUUAGGUAAAUGGAUCUGUUAGCGGCUCAUUUGUUACGUCAUCCUAUUCAUAGAUUCAAGUUAGUUGACAGUAACCAAAACAGUUUUCACAAUCCCCACAUUACCACCACUUAUAAAAUAAAAUCCAAUUUCUUUAUAUCCCAACUUCAAGAACACUGGUCUCUGUAUCUGCCAAAUCCUCAUAUCCGGUGCCACAAAAGCAAUGGCCUCCAUUAUAUGUCAGACAAUAUAUGGUGAACAAUAAACAAUGAAGUACUACAAGAAUUGCGUGUUAUUGCAAUUGGCAUCAGAUUUCCAAUAGGAACCAAAAAAUAGCAUUGAAAAAUUAAAGGAUUAUAAUUACUAAUCUGUCAAGAGAAGCAACCACACCAAUACAUAUAUUCAAACAUCUCAAGAGUACAUAUUAAAAGACUUGGCCACUGGUACACAGGAGAUGCAUACAUCGGUCCCCCAAAUUAACUAGAUGAUAUAACAAUAUGUGACAGCAGUCAACAAUAUAAUUUUCCACAAACUAACUACAUCACCACUAGGCCUAGAUCUGAUGCAUAAUCUCUUCACCAUACAAGUGAAUGACAUGAACUAUUGUGUCAAGGAAAGUGGUGAGAUGAAUGGAGAUUAUAAAAACCUUGAAUGUGACACGUCCCAGGAGUGUCAAUGAUCUUGCCUACAGUGCAGAAAUUAUUUUCCUAAAAAACCAACCAAACACUAUAAAAAUCAUAGACUCUAGCUACUAAGACGCAAAUGAAAAUCACUACUGUUUUUUUUUAUAUUCUAAAAAGGAAAGAGUCAAGUGCAGUAGCGAUCAUCAAUUUCUAAAGCUUAUAGCGUACCAAAUUUUACAUCAUGGCCCACUGUACAAGUAAAAAAAUGCUUUCAUAACAAAACUUUCCAAAGAAGAAAACUGAAAGUCGAAAUUUACCUGGUAACUGGGUUCAACAAAACUUUUUGCUUGCCGAUAAAGUGAGCUAAAAAGUGUGUCUCUUCUACUCCAAUACUCAUUUAGUAGACCUAAGUUGUCUUCUUUCAGAUCGAUUUUUGCUGUUAUCGCACCAGAAUAUGCCUCAAGUAGCACUUCAGCCAGAACUUCUAAGUUACUAUAAAACUCCAACCUUUUGGGCCUGUCAAGGCGAUUUGAUUCAUUUGAGAUCUGAAGCAGGAAAGAUGCAAUGCUCCAAAGCCCACUUCGUACAACAGUUCGACAAUACCAUGGUGUCAAACCCUCAGGAGAUGGAUACCACAUGUGAUACUCAUUUCUGUAAUUCAAUGCCGUGCGAACUAAGAGUACACACGCAUUUGACAAUUCGCAAGCUCGUUCGAACUGAACAGGUAGUUGCAUCUCCUCAGUAAUUAUAAACUCCAGAUGUCUAUCUAAGCAACUAUAUACUUCUUCAAGUUCAGAAACUUUACUGUAAAAGACUUCGGCAUUGUCCCUAUCCAUCAGGAGGACAGUAUUCCUUCGCAAUUUCUCUCCAACUAACUGAAUCAGAUCCCAAAGUGGACCAGAAACUUUAUUUUCCAUUGUAGAGUAAGUACCGCCAAGUCCACUUGAGCGGUGGCUAAUGUUGUUCUGCAACUCCUUCAGAUGAAUCACAGCAGAAAGUUUUUCACCAUGUUCCAUUAUAAAUUGCAAUGAUUGUCCUAAAAAUAGUAUAAAAUUAUAAAAUUCAAAAAAACCAUGCCUAUGUAACCAUAAAUCAUGUACGGAAAUAGAAGGGAAGUUAAGAACCUUUUUCUUUCACCUACAGAGUCUGAUGCAGAUGUUAAUAAGCAUUUAUAGGCCCUACUGUUUCUUCUUUGAAGCCCUAUAGGCAUUAUUAUUGUUUCAUUUAGGACAAGUGUGGCUUAUAAUAUCUUAACUAAGAGAAAGUAAUUAAAAUAUAAUGCAUUCAUCUUAGCACCUCAGCAAUGGACUAAAAAACCAGAAACCAUCAGAAUAAAUACAAAAAACUAUUUCUGAGUAAAUAUAUAUAUAUCAUCAAUCAUAUUAGUAUUCAGGUCCAAAUUAGUGAGUGCGAUUCCAUGAUGAAAAGUUUGUGCCAAUCUAAUCUACAGGAUGCUGCUGUAAGUUGAUUGUAACUCGCACGGGGUUGCCCACAUAUUCCGUGCAACUAUAUUUGGUUGCGAUAAAUGAUUAACACACUUAAAUCACCUAAUUUGCAUAAAAAGUUCAUAUAAUUAUGCAUUAGCGAUAAUACGAUAGUAUGAGCAACAAUCAGUGCUUAGCAUCGAGGGAAAUAAGAAAUAGAAAAAGAUACUGACAUAAUAAAUAAUAAGUAGGAAAAAACUUAUACUCUGUUUAGAACACAGUUCCUCGUGGCAUUUUGAUAAUGCAAGGAACUGUAGAAAUUUCUGAUGCUUUUGCUGCUUAUCAAUGAGUUGGUUGGAAACAACAGAUAGAGCCACGAACUCAGCACCUCUAGUAGUUGUCCAAUGCUUGGCUAAGGUGUCAACAAUUGAUUUGCUGAGCCUAGUGAAAACACUUGUUUCUCCAUCCCUUUCAAAUGCCCUGGAACUAUUUAGCUUGUCGAAUGCACCAGUAACCUGACCUGAUAAAAGAAAAUCAUUGAAAAGAACAUUCAGUAAAGCUUCUGAUUCCUCAUCUUGAGCAGUUCUAUGUGUGAUCCCCGUAAACACUGCUUUUUGUUUGUCUCCAGCAUCCCAUGCUUCAGAAGUAGCCCUUCUGGGGACAAUAUUACCGGAAAAGGGAAAGUUUCUCCUUUCCACUUGUGCAGAUCCUUCAUUAGAACUUCCUUUCCGUGACAAACUUCGCUCUGGCGGUUCAACACCUCCAAGCAAAACCGCCUUUUCAGGAAUUGCCCAUAAUCCAGCUUUCUGAGUGAGAACGACCCAUGGUCCGUCAUCACCAUCAUCUGAAGGCAAGACUGAAGCAUCAAGAACUUUCCCAGCAUCAUAGGGUAGAUCAAACUGAUAAAGCCGUGUGGAAUCUCUCCAGUAAUGUGAGACUGUAGAAGUACCGUCACCAGAAAGUAUGAUUGCAGACCCAGACGGUUUACCACCAACCUUUAAUCUCAUUAAAAAUAAGAUAUCCUCAUCCUCCACUCUUGCUUUUGGUAUAAUUACUUGAAGAGGAGCUUUUUUCUCCAAAACAUUCUCAUCUGUUUGCUCAGUGCUUUCUGACGAAAUUCUUGGCCCAGAUUUAUAUUGCAUGGUCAGAAGAGAGUACUCUAUGAAACUUGAACUGGUGACCCGAUCCUUGCAGAAAGUGGCAAUAAGAACAGUAAUUAUUUUUCCAGAAUUGUCGAGUUGCAGGUCCAAAGGCCAAAUUCGCUUCUGACCAGCCAGACCCUUCUUAAUACCUAGAUCACCAUCAGGGCUAAUUAUUUCAUGCGACCAGCGCUUUGAAACUUCAUAAAAAUUAUUAAGGUUGACAGUAAAACAUUGUAACUCAUGGUCUGUCAACAAAAGAAAUUGUCUUUCGGUUUCUUCCAAAGAAUGAUUAGCAAAGUGCCAAGUUAAUGACCUCGGAUAUCCCUUACUUCUGUUGACUUGGUUGAUAUCACUUCCUUGGAGGGAUAACCCUAAGACAUUAUGAAUAGCCACCUUACGCUCGAUACCAUUAGGGCUACAGAUGAAUUGGCAAAUAUCACCACUAGAGCUACAAGCAAGAGCCAGACAGACAUUAGAUGGAUAAGUGGCAGCAGAAGCAAUAAAAGAGUUGUAAUAGUUUGAACCCGUUUUCUGUUGACCAGGCGAAAAAUUUGCUUCUGUAUUGUCAAUACUUGUGACAGGAGAGGUUGUUCCUUCAGAAUAGAUGUUUGCCCAAUACACUACGGCUCGACUUUUCAGAUGACACAAUAUAACACCAACAGAGCUGUACUGUUUUAGAGAUUUACUUCUACUCUUAUGCAUGCUAUCCCUAAUAAUAAUACAAAGUGACCAGUUAUUCCCAAGUCUCGAAUUUAUGCUUGAACCUCUAAUAUCUGAUACAGUUGAGGGAAUAUCAAGCACGACACAUUUUCUAGAUUUAGCGGACGCCAAGUACUCCCAUAUAAAAAUUUUGCUUCCACAAAUAAUCCAUGCCAAGGAUGUCGCCUUGUCAAUCCCGCCAGAGUUAAAUGCAUCACCUGACAGAGAAGACAAAGGUUAGCCAAACGAAACAAUUCACAACUUUGAACAAAAGGUGGAAAAAAGUGCAAAAACUAUAAACCAUGCAACUGCUUGUGCAUUAGAUUAGCUUGCUCAUUGCGAACUACUUCAGGAAACUCUCCAACAUAUACAGGCUUAUUUGGAUCCUCGUCAUCCUUGUCACUUUUCUUCCCUGGUGAAAUCCUGUGUAACGAGCCACAAAAGGCAUUAAAAAGGAUUUCUGUGCUGCACUAUAAUAUCUGAGCAAAAAAAUAAAAGAAAAGUAUAUUUAUCACUAACGUAGGCCCCAUUCAGCUUAACUUAUUUUUCAGAAAUAAGUCACUAGUUUCUGAAAAAAGUACAUUAAUGUAGUAUACUUUUUUCUGAAUAGAAGUAACUUAUUUCUGCAAAUACAGAAUGUUAAACCACUGUUAUAUAUGGGUCCAAGUUCUAUAGAGUCUACAAAACAUUGGAGUAUCAGAGUCCAAAAUUUAAUAAAAUAUAAUCUAGUCAUUUCAAUUUUCAUUUUUUUUCUGUUCUACAAUAUUUGUAAACAUCGGACAACCUACAGAUUAUUUUCUACAACAUAAUCGUUGUAAUCAAAAGGUAGAACAAUUACUUUUACAAAUCGCAGAACACUAUGUUCUACAAUAUAACUCAUAAGAAGAACAAUGAUUUUAACGAUUGUUAAAGUUGAAAGAUGUUAAUGAUUAACUGAUAAUUAUGUUUAAGACUACUUAUAUAUGAUUAAUCAUAUAUAAAUUUGAAUGAUCAAAGAUAUUGUGCCCGUUUGGCUAAACUUAUUUUUCAGAAAUAAGGGCUUAUUUCUGGAGAAAAAUACAUGAAACUCUACUUUUUUCUGAAAUGAACCUUAAUUUUUUCCCCAUAUAAUGAAUAUUAAACACCUUCUUAACAUUUAUAUCCAAAAGAAUUACAAAUAUAUGUAUUUUUAAAAAAAAUAAAAAAAUAAGUCCUUCAUAAGCUCUUAAAUUAUUUACCCAAACAUGCCCAUUAUUUAUGAUUAAACUUAAAGAUUAUGACUGGUACUCCAAGACACUAGCUUAAAUGUAGACUCCAUAGAACCUAACUCAUUAUAUAUGUUAUACUAAUAGGGAUGGCAACGGGUUGGAUCGUUUCGGAUAUUUGAGAUAUCCAAAUCCAAAUCCAAAUUAUUUUUAAAAUCCAAAUCCAAAUCCAAAUCCAAUCGGGUUUCACAUAUCAAAUCCAAAUCCAAAUCCACGGGUUUCGGAUCGGGUUCGGGUUUAUCCAAAACCUCAAUCCCGAAAUUUAUAUAGUAUUGUAAAAAUAUUAUUUUUGAUUUUUUCACACUUAAAUUUCAUUAUAUUUAAAACUAAACUACUUUAAUAAUAAAGUAUUACACAUUAAUAAAAUCUUGAACCGUAUUUAAUAAUUUCUAUUUAAUAAUUUCUAAACACAAAUCUCCACUAUAUGGAGUAUGAAAUUUUAAAGUAACUCAUUAGUUAAACAAAAAAUGUCACUAUAACCCAGGAGUAUACACAUUCACACUCUACCUAUAUAUAUAUAUAAACAAAAUUUAGUAGAUUUAAAGUUGAAAAAAAACUAUAUUAGUAUAGAUACAUGCAUACAUACAUACAUACAUACAUACAUACAUAUAUAUAUAUAUAUGUAUAUAUAUAUAUAUUUGGAUUUUUUUUCGGGUUUCAGGUUUGGAUCGGGUUUGGAUCGGAUUCGGAUUUCGGGUCGGGUUUCGAUACGGAAUACCUAGUAUCCAAAUCCAAAUCCAAACUCGUUCGGGUCUAAAAAUCAGAUCCAAAUCCAAAUCCAAAUCCAAAAUAUCGGGUUCGGUAAGAUCCAUUCGGGUCGAAACGGUCGGGUAUCCAUUCAGAUCGGUUUUUUCUGCCAUCCCUAUAUACUAAGUGCUUGUUUGGUUACCAAUAGGAAGUUAAUUCCUAUGUAAUUUGAAAUCACCAUGGAAAUUAUAAUAAAUGGGAAGUUAAAAUUUGUGUUUGGUUGAUAGACAGGUUUUAACUUCCUACACGAAGUGCAAGUUACCAAGGGGGGUCUAGGUGAAUAACUUCCCUUGAUUUGUAGGUAUUUAAAGUUCCGAGGAACUUACACUUUCCCAACUAAUGUCAACCAAACAAUUUCAUCGGAUACUACUUCCUAGGAAUUUCUACUUCUCAAGUAUCUAGAUGUCAACCAAACAAGCACUAAAGUAUAUUAUGUAUAUGUAAAAAAAUAUUUCGAAAUAAGUCCUUAUUUCCAUGAAAAAAGACCGUCAGAUUAACCCAUCUAGUUCUCUGGAGGCUUUCUACGCUAUCCAUUUCUAAUCAAUUACGUUGACCUAGUGAAUAGCAAGUCAAUUAAAAAAUAAGGCGUUUGUAAAAUAAUCUCAGCAUUUGCAUUCUAAACAGCUUACAGUCCUUAAAAUCACGUUUUAGGCUCUAAAAACAACUUGUUUAAGUGAGUACAAACAAACAUCACUACAGAGACAAACUCAGAAGGAGCCUGUAAUUAGUUGUGUAUAAACAAAGCAGAAUAAUGCACAACUGAACCUCGAUAACCGCACACCCUGGGGACCGGAGAUAUAACUAAUUUGUCCGAAUUAUUCAUUAAUCGAGUUUAAACAUAUGAAACACGGAUCAUAUUAAUCGAGUUUAUUCGUUUAUCGAGUAUUCGAAUAUCGAAAAUGUGUGAUGUGGGAAGUAGUAGUACCUGGCGAGGACGGAGAGGCGGGAGGCCCAGGGGGCGGGAGUGCCGGUGGAAGGGCGGUUAGCAAUGUGGUGUGGUGUGUGCGGCGAGGCAGCUUCGGGUGGCUGUGUAGUUGGGCGCGGCUUGGCUCUCUUUGUGCCCGGAGAGAACAUUCCGAAGGUUAGGGUUUUAGGUUUUUGUUGUUUUGGGGUUUUAGGGUUUUGAAAUUGGGGUUUUAGUGUUUUGAGUUGGAGAGAGUGGUGAAAUGAGUUGAUUAGGAGAUUGUGGAAGAAGCGGCGAGUGGGGAGGAAUGCGGUGGCCGGAGAGUGGGAGAGUCGCCGGCUGGUUGUUUUGAUGAAUCGGAGGGAUGUGGGAGUGUGAGUUCGAAUUUUUGAGUUCGCUCUGCAGUUUGUAAUCAAAUUCGAAAUCGAAAAAAUUUGGACAGCUCAUAAAAGUUUGUUUACAGAUUGCAUUCUUUUUAAAAGAAAAUUUUUCUAAAAUUUGUGGAAAAAAUAUGUAAAUAUUUUGGUAUCCAACCUCAAGAAAAUAUAUUUUUUAUAAUAUACAUAAAUGCUAAGAUAUAUUAAAAUUAUUAUGAACUUAUUAUCUAUUUUGUGUAAUAGCAUUUUUUUCAUAGGACAACAUUAAUUCAAAGUUUUGAGUUUUUUGAUUUAUUGAUAUUAAUUUUUUUGAAAACAUAGGAUUUGGCAGAUUCAAUUUGUAUUAAAAUUUUUGAUGUCGUUUCAAAAACUAAAUAAAUAAAAUUUGAUGUGAUAUAUUUACCUUUGAAUGAGACUAAAUUAACUAAAUUAUGAAUCAGUCAUCGUUUAUGUUAUUUUUUUGAGUUUUGCAAAUUUCUAGACCACGUCUAAAUUUUUGCUGGACAAUCGGCCAUCAAAAAUUCUAACAGUCUGUUUUGCGAAAUUUUUAUGCUGGUUUUCGCAAAUUUUAAAUUGUAUAAUUUAUAAUAAACUUUUAUAUAAAUAUAGUUUAUAGUUUUUAUUUCCGUGCUUGCAAAUAUAUUUGGUACCACGGCUGCCUACCAGAUAAUCGACAGAUAACUAAACAUAACUAAACAGCAUAAGAAAAUGAUCUUUUAGAUUGCAGACCAUUCACAUAAUGACAAGCCAGCAGCCAAAUAUCCCUGGUUUGGUUCAAUUAUGAACAAGAUGUCCUCUCUUUUAAAGUAAAGGUAGACCCUUGAUGCAAAUAACAUCUCGUCACAGUCACAAAAUAGUUCCUUUGAUACUGGUAUCUAUAAAGCUAAGCUAGUGAGAUGGUGCUAACAGACAACUACGACAGAGUGGAUAUCACUAUACAUUCCCUGUUAAGUUCUUCAAAAUAUUGCAGCUGGAAUACUCUUAAACCGCUUUCGAGGUGAUCACAAUUUAAACUGAAGCGAGGCCACAUUUAAUUUAGUAAUGUUCAAGGAAUGCGAAGUUUGGGGAGAAAAUAAUUGUGCACCAUUCUAUUAUAUAUUCUUUUUCCACUAUAGUUUGGGGCUAACAACAGAGUUACAUGUUCAACAAACAAAGAAAUAUACAAGGGCUUGCACAAAAGAAAGUUCUCUAUUUAAGAACAAAAACAGCACCAACAUGGCAAACUCUACAUACGGGGAAAAUUAAAGGGAAAAUUAUAGAGAGGCUAUAUCCUACUUGUCUGUUUUGCCCCUAAUAUACUUAUAUAUAUAUAACAAAAGGUAAGCACGCAUAGGCAGGUUCAAUAUCACGCUUCCAGUUUCAAGGAGACGACUCGUGCUUGCCUGUUGCGUUUUGCAGCCUUGAUGAAUACUAUAGAGAGGCAAGAAGGAGCCCACCAAGGGCGGCGAACUUUUUGCUCUCCCUUCAAGCAAGCCACUGAUAGAAAAAACAGACAGUAAAACACUAGUCAGUCGACCAGUAAAAUAAAUAAUAUAGGAUCAGGUUUUUUACUAAUAUUUUUGUUAUCCCUAUUAUUUUACUGUAUCUUCCAAUAAUGCCCACGUGUGUAUAAUGUGUACUUCCUCCGCAAGGAGAGGUUAAAUGAAGUUUUGCAAGACUUGUCGGUACCUGGAGUCACCAUUUGCCUGCUGUAAAACUGAGCAAUAAGUGACAACUGAAGCCAACUCAAAAUUGAAAACAGACCCUCCGGGCUGCUAGCAAAUUUUUCAGUUAUAUAAGUGUAAAAAAGGAAGAGAUGGAUAGAGAGAGAGACCUUUUAUUCGCCUGAGUUCCUUGCAGAGUGUUAUGAAAUCCCCCCAUUUCAUGUGACAGCGUCUUAUAAACCGAAGUAUUUGUUCCGUCGUAAACAUGGACAUGCCUUCCAAAUAUUCUCCGUUUACACCAUGCUCCUUGAAAAUUGGACGAUAAGUGCCAAGAUUUAUCUCUUCCAACCACAAACCUACAUCCUGGCAAGAUAAAAGCAGACACAAAUUUAGCUAGUCAUCAAACUACAGUUUUGGAUUAUGAUGUGCUCAUUAAGAACUACUCUGCACCAACAAGUUUCACUAUGAUGCGAAGUAGAUUAUUUGCAAAAGGUCAAUAAAUUUACUUUAUUUUGCAUUCACUUGUUUGUAAAAGAUUAGCUGCUGGAGAUAAAAAAUAGAGAGUUUAUAAAUUUAUAAAGUACUGUAGAGGGUACUGAAAAUUUUACUGCAGCUGGUUUGUCGCAAACUAUACAAAUUUCAAUGGUGUAAAUCUUCUGACAGAACCCUUUAUCAGUAUGUACUUGUACAAACUUAUCCUAUCCUAAUGUUUGUUAAAUGAAAUGAAAGCCCACUUCCACCAAACAAAACUGUAUGAAAAGUUUCUAGAACUUGAUCAGGCACCUUAUCCCUACAGUAGCUGUGUGUCCUAACAUGUCAAACUAUAAGAUUGGAAUGAGUAGGUAAAACUAAUUUGUUCAUUAGUCUAGUAACACCUCGCUCCUAAACUUUUCUGUUUAGUCGUACUUUCACAUUAUUUCUAUCUUAUCACUAUUGCUCUGACUUGUAGCUACUUCAUCAUGCAGGUAUAACCCACCACAAACACACUCUCUUCAUAACAAAAUUUGGCCAUCUAUUGGUCCUUUCAAUGGUGAACCGGUAGACCCAGGAUAAUUAUUGAGGAAAACCAAUUUGCACUUGUCCUUAUGGGUCAAUUUGUACUUGUUGAUGGAUCAAAAACAAGCAGUUAAAUUCCUCGACUCAUUUCAUAACAAUUAGUAAUACAUAUGUGUAUAUAUGUAUUUGGAAAAUUUACAUUUUUAUAUUCAAAUGUUAGCAAGUAAUAAAUGCUAAAUAUAAGAGAAGUUGAGGGUAUGAAUCCGGUAACCCUUGUAACUUGGUAAGUCGCCCUGAUAUAUAUGACUGUUUCCCAAUAAAGCAACAAAGCACAAAAACAGAACCAUGUAGAAAGAGGUCACUUGUAUUUACUCUCCAUCUAACAAAUAAAUUAGGUCCCCUGAGAUGUAAUGGAUUAAGUUUACUACUCUGUGAACUAGUUAAAUUAAAAACAUGAACCAUACUUGGUUCCAUUUGAACAUAUAUGGUUAACUUUACCGUCUUACACUAUUGCAAACAAAAAUAGCACUCCACGGUCCACGCAUCAUGUACACAAAACUACGAUCAACUGUAAUUAACUGGUACAUUCGACUAUAUAACUACAGCCCACUAUCCAAAUAACAUAAAAUCCAUCUCUUAAACCCCACAGUCACUUGUCUUCUUAUCCCGUAAUCUGUAUUGCUUAUUUAACACCAUAAAGGGCUAGCAUAAGUCUUUUCACACAAAUCCUCAAUUGGUAUUUUAAACACCACGUUCAUGCUCUCUCGAAAUAUGCAAGUGGCAAGAAAUUCUAGCUACUUUAUACAAGAUAGACCACCAGAACUGGUGAUCCUGUCCUGUGUCACUUCAUAUAACCACAGUUUUGCAAAAACUUGCCAUCUUUUAGCUACAUAGUUACACAUACUAUAAGCGUCGAAUAUCAACAAUCUUCUAUACCAAACAGAUCAUAAAUCGAAACCAACAAAUAUUUUCCCAAUUAAAAAAAAUCCCAAAAAUUGUUGCCUACAAGUAUACAACAAAUAAAAAAUUAACAUGGGCAGUAAAAAAUUAAAAAUUACAAAAACGGUGAAACUUUAAUAAAAAGAUUAAACUCGGAUCAAGAAAAGUAAAAAGAGGGCAAAGGGGAACCUCAACAGUCCAAAUGAAGAAAUCAAGAGGCUCAGGUGGGCGAUCUUUGCUCAUUUCCAACAUCAAUCACCACAAACACACCUGUAUAUAUAAUAUACACAUAUAAUUACAGCAAACCCAGCAACAAGAUUAGGCUUUUAAGGAUAAAAAUGGAAAACAAGACAAAACAGCAGCAUUUAAUUGAAUAAAAUAAUACACCAAGUAAUGAUUCAUUGAGAAUAGAGAAUUAAAUUUACCGUUUGUAGAAUUGGGAAUUAGGGUUUGUACAUUUGAGAGAGACAGAGAGAGAGGGAGAGGGAGAGAGAGAGAGAGAGAGAGAUGGAUGAUGGGGUACUUUGUACUGGGAGAUGCAGCUUACAAGAACAAAAGAAGGGUCUUCUUUCUUACACUUUCCCCUACUUUUUCUCCUUGCUACAUAGGAGUAAUAUAGUAUAGAGUAUAGUUUCCUUGUUUCAUGUGGACCCCGCAUCCGGGGUUUGCUUUGUAUAUCACUGCGUAUUUUUGAAUUAAAGUUCACAUUUCUCGGUCAUUCUUUUAACGGUUUUUAUAUUUAGAAAAUAAUUUUUUUACAAAGGUGAUUACCAACCCUUUUGGAUCGUCUAAAGUAAAAUUAAUUUUUUGAAUAAACUAGUUGAGAAUCUGCGCGUUGCGGCGUCCUAUAAAAAUUAUAUUAAUGAUCCAAUAUUAAUAUUUGUAAAAUAAAAUAAUUUUGUGAUUGUCUAUAAAAAGUAUAUUAAUGUUUCAAGUUAAUAUUUGUAGGAUAAAAUAAAUUUAUAUUAUAAAAAUCUUGAUGUGAUACAAAUACUAAUUUAUAAAAUUGUAAAAUUGAACUAUAAUUCAUGUUGAAAAAAUGAAAAUAAAUUUAUACACAUAAUUAUCAAUUUAAAGCAUGACGAAUCUUAAUUUUAUUUUUUAUUUUUUUUGGAAAAGUAAUCAUGUUCUUACAUUGUCACCUUUCUCCAAUUUUUUUAGAUUGAUUGUGCACAAAAACAUUUAACUUAAAUAUAACUACUCUCUUAAAAGUUGCUUGAACGGAGCAAACAGAUAAUGCAUGAAUAAUUUUUUCAUGUAUACAAAGUAAAUAAUAUAAAAAUAACAACAACAAACAUGUCCGAUAAAUAAAAUAAAUAUUAUAAAAGAAUAACCAACAAACAUACAUCAUUAAUAGUUAACUUAUUGACAUCAACCAUAAUAUCAUGUCAAGACUAUAUUCUUUUACUAUGUUUGGAUUUGUCGACUCCAAUAUAACGGUCUAUAACUACAUUUGCUUGCAACAACUUUUACUGUAGCUAACAGCCUUCACUUAUCGUUGCAGAAGAACGACACCUCCGAGUUAGAAAUCGAGCGAGAGAAAGGUAUUUCUAAGUUUUGAUAAUUUUCAUCCAAAAAUUUCAGAAAAUUAAAAAAUAGAACGGAGCGAUGUGAGAGGCGCCACCUACACGCCCCUCGCUUCUCUUUUAAAAAUCGAAUAAGAGAACUUUUAGGUAGGUUUGUGGUAUUGAGAGAGGAGGUUGUGUUUAGAUGAUCCAAAAUCCUACGAUCUAUACGGGUAUUUAUAGGUGGAGAGAGACUUGUUUGCUACUCUUCCCCAUAAUUAAAUAAUAUGAACAAAAUCAGAUUAAAAUUUUCAAGCUAUUAUAUUCCAUAAAUAAUCUGUCUUUUCCAUAAUUGAAUAGUCUGAAACAAAAUCAGAUUAAAACUUUUAAGCUAAUAUAUUACAUAAAUAAUCUGAAACAAAAUCAGAUUCUGAAACUUGCUUCUAAUAUACCCGAAACUAAAAAAGGUACUGAAACAAAAUCAGAUUAAAACUUUCAAGCUACUAUAUUCCAUAAAUAAUCUGAAACAAAAUCAGAUUCUGAAACUUGCUUCUAAUAUACCCGAAACUAAAAAAGGUAGUUCUAAUUUUUGAUAUUUUUCAUCCAAAAAUUCCAGAAAAUUAGAAAAAUAUUCUCCAAUUUUUUUAGAUUGAUUGUGCACAAAAACAUUUAACUUAAAUAUAACUACUCUCUUAAAAGUUGCUUGAACGGAGCAAACAGAUAAUGCAUGAAUAAUAUUUUCAUGUAUACAAAGUAAAUAAUAUAAAAAUUAACAAUAACAAACAUGUCCGAUGAACAAAACAAAUAUUAUAAAAGAAUAACCAACAAACAUACAUCACUAAUAGUUAAUUUAUUGAUAUCAUCCAUCAAUAUCAUGUCAAGACUAUAUUCUUUUCCAGUGUUUGAAUUUGUCGACUCCCACAUAGCGAUCUAUAACUACUUUUGCUUGCAACAACCUUUAUCUUUUUAAUACUAUAUAAACAGCUUUCACUUAUCGUUGCAGAAGAACGGCACCAUCGAGUUAGAAAUCAAGCAAGAGAGCUAUCACUAGAGAGAGGUAGGGUUGUGGUAUUGAGACAGAGGAGGUUGUGUUUAGAUGAUCCAAAACCCUACAAUCUAUAGGGGUAUUUAUAGGUGCAGAGAGACUUGUGUGCUACUUUUUCCCAUAGUUAAAUAAUCUAAACAAAAUCAGAUUAAAACUUUCAAGCUACUAUAUUCCAUAAAUAAUUUAGAAACAAAAUCAGAUUCCGAAACUUGCUUCUAAUAUACCCGAAACUAAAAAAGGUAUUUCUAAUUUUUGAUAUUUUUAAUCCAAAAAUUCUAGAAAAUUAGAAAAAUAGAACGGAGCGAUGUGAGAGGCGCCACAUACACGCCCCUCGCUUCUCCUUUAUAUAAGUAUAAUCUGUCUUUUCCAUAAUUGAAUAGUCUGAAACAAAAUCAGAUUAAAACUUUCAAGCUACUAUAUUCCAUAAAUAAUCUGAAACAAAAUCAGAUUCUGAAACUUGCUUCUAAUAUACCCGAAACUAAAAAAGGUAUUUCUAAUUUUUGAUAUUUUUCAUCCAAAAAUUCCAGAAAAUUAGAAAAAUAAAACGGAGCGAUGUGAGAUGGGACCGAUGAUAGAGGCGCCACCUACACGCCCCUCGCUUCUCCACCAUAUUUUCCUGUAUACAAAGUAAAUCAUAUAAAAAUUAACAACAACAAACAUGUCCGAUGAACAAAACAAAUAUUAUAAAAGAAUAACCAACAAACAUACAUCACUAAUAGUUAAUUUAUUGAUAUCAUCCAUCAAUAUCAUGUCAAGACUAUAUUCUUUUCCAGUGUUUGAAUUUGUCGACUCCCACAUAGCGAUCUAUAACUACUUUUGCUUGCAACAACCUUUAUCUUUUUAAUACUAUAUAAACAGCUUUCACUUAUCGUUGCAGAAGAACGGCACCAUCGAGUUAGAAAUCAAGCAAGAGAGCUAUCACUAGAGAGAGGUAGGGUUGUGGUAUUGAGACAGAGGAGGUUGUGUUUAGAUGAUCCAAAACCCUACAAUCUAUAGGGGUAUUUAUAGGUGCAGAGAGACUUGUGUGCUACUUUUUCCCAUAGUUAAAUAAUCUAAACAAAAUCAGAUUAAAACUUUCAAGCUACUAUAUUCCAUAAAUAAUUUAGAAACAAAAUCAGAUUCCGAAACUUGCUUCUAAUAUACCCGAAACUAAAAAAGGUAUUUCUAAUUUUUGAUAUUUUUAAUCCAAAAAUUCUAGAAAAUUAGAAAAAUAGAACGGAGCGAUGUGAGAGGCGCCACAUACACGCCCCUCGCUUCUCCUUUAUAUAAGUAUAAUCUGUCUUUUCCAUAAUUGAAUAGUCUGAAACAAAAUCAGAUUAAAACUUUUAAGCUAAUAUAUUACAUAAAUAAUCUGAAACAAAAUCAGAUUCUGAAACUUGCUUCUAAUAUACCCGAAACUAAAAAAGGUACUGAAACAAAAUCAGAUUAAAACUUUCAAGCUACUAUAUUCCAUAAAUAAUCUGAAACAAAAUCAGAUUCUGAAACUUGCUUCUAAUAUACCCGAAACUAAAAAAGGUACUGAAACAAAAUCAGAUUAAAACUUUCAAGCUACUAUAUUCCAUAAAUAAUCUGAAACAAAAUCAGAUUCUGAAACUUGCUUCUAAUAUACCCGAAACUAAAAAAGGUAUUUCUAAUUUUUGAUAUUUUUCAUCCAAAAAUUCCAGAAAAUUAGAAAAAUAAAACGGAGCGAUGUGAGAUGCGCCACCUAUACGCCCCUCGCUUCUCCUUUAUAUAAGUAUAUUGAUGAUUUACAUGAUUUAAGAUGAAUUAAAAUGAUGAUAAAAUAAAAUUUAAUUUUGAAAAUGUAAAACAAGGUUGCCUAAUUAUUUAAUUCUGAUUUUUCUACAGUUUUAACUAUAACUUGGCCUCACUAGAAAUUAACAAGUGGAAACCAACAUUUGAGAAAAUUCCAAGAAGGGAUAUAACACAGGUCUUUAUUGUCUGUGCUAAAGCAGUUUGGGAAAAUAAUUUGAUGAGUGCACAGUUCUUAAUGCCUAAAUAUGGCUUACUGUAUCAGUUUACGGUGAACCAGUUCAGCAUCUUCUGGAAGUUUGAUCUACAAAUUUCUGAGAUGCAAAGAACCAGAAAGCUCUGAGCUUCUCUGUCACUUGCACAUUCUUUAUGAGGUUUGCCCUUACUAUAAAUUUGGGCACAGGUCUACAAAUGGUGCUAUAAAUUUGGAUGCAUGAAAAGAGAUUUGGUUGCUUCUUGCGCAUGGAAAUGCGGUUAGGGCUGAUGUUAAUUUCAAAAUAUAGAUUCUAGGUAAGAGCCUGGAACUAAAAUCAUGCACAUGGUAUAGACAAAAAUUGCAUCCCCCUGUUAAGUUCUGUACUAUGUUGUGCUUCUAUGUUGUAUCAAUGAUCAGAAGAUCCUUAGACUUGAUUGUUUAUGCCAAGAUCAAAUCUAAGAUGAACCAAACAAAAAUAAACUGCAAAUAGAUAAUCACAUUCUGCGCUUCACAGUGACUGGAAACCUGCAACAUUUACAAAUUGCAAAUAAGAAAUCACAUCUUAAGCUACUUAUGAUUGCAAACCUGCACCAUUGUCUGAUCCGGAAUGAUCUGCCUCUUCCGCCUCUUCAUGUUCUUUUGUUUCCCGCGUAACUUCUGAGCAAUCCCAGCAAUCAGCCAGGGGUGUUUAUCUGUUAGGAUAUUUCCCAUAACAAAGCCAGUUACAAGACCACUUCCAAGUCCUGAUAAAAUGAAUACCCAAUCAAAUCCACCUGGAAAUUGAUCAUCAGAAAUGUUAUUAUCAUCCUCCUCUUCAUCAUCAUCAGCUGCUAGUGACUGCACACAUCCACAAAUUUUAGACAAAGGAAAUCCACACAAUCCAGAGUUUCCAAUGUAGGAAUUGUUGUCGAAUGUCUUGAAUUGCAGGCCUUGUGGUAUGGGGCCACUAAGGUUGUUGUAAGACACAUUGAAGAAUUCGAGAAAGUUAAGCUGUGCUGCUAACUCUUGAGGGAUAAAGCCUGAGAGCUUGUUAUGUGAAAGGUCCAAGGAUUCAAGCUGUGUCAGGUUUCCGAGGGAAGGAGGAAUUGGUCCCAUAAGCUCAUUGUUUGAAAGGUCAAGCAACCGAAGCGCCUCUAAGCUUCCAAAAUGUUCUGGAAUCUUCCCUGUAAAUUUGUUACUUGAGAGGUCAACAGCAGUGAAAGUAUUUAAGAUCUUGAUGUAUACUCUCUUCACACCUUUGUUGGUAAGUAUGAUAGAGCUCUGAAAAGACUCAGUCCACUGCACCCUCCGGUUUUCAAAAUUUACUUCUGUGUUUAUAUACAUUUCAAUAUCUGGACGGAAAACUUUCAUUGCAUUCCAAAUCUUGAUGUAUUCCAGAGGCAAAUUACCAGUGAAAGAGUUCUGAGAGAGAUCAAUAAUACGCAACAUUGGAAACUCCGUAUGAAUUCUAGGACUUCCCACUGCACCAUGAAACUUGUUGGAUCGCAGAAGUAAAACUUGUAACUGUGGAAGAUUCCCUAACCAGUUGGGGAAAGUUUGUUCCAUCUGGUUAUUUGAUAAAUCCAAGAUUUGAAGCAUAUUGCAAUUUAACAAUGAUUUUGGUACUUCUCCUGAUAGUUGAUUUCGGCUCAAGUCCAUCACCCUUAAGUUGCAUUCACUUGGACAUAUUUGUGGAACUGUACCGGAAAAAUUGUUUUCUUGGAGAAUAAGGGCUUCUAAAGAACUGGACAGACAUUGAGGAAGUGGUCCACUCAUGCUGUUAUUCGACAAAUCCAGAAUUUUGAUAGACUUCCCAUCGCAGAUCAUUGGUGGAAUAUCUCCUGUCAGUCUGUUAUUGGACACAAUAUACUGCACUGUGUUUGGUGGAGGAAGUGGAAGAUUUCCUUUCAGCAUGUUGUUGCUUAUGUCUAUGACUAUUAAACUCUUACUCUGAAGAGCCAUCGGAUUAUGUUUCAUGGCUGUUAGAAAAUUAGCAGAAAGAUCAAUCGUCUCCAGAUGAUCACUUGCAUUCCAUAUCCAGUGUGGAAUUUCACCGUGAAUAUUGUUUCCUCUCAAGAGUAACACCUCCAAACUAUUCUGAAAUUUCAGAAAAUAUGGGAUCUCGCUUAAGUUACACUGACUCAACUGUAACAUUUUAAGCUUUGGAAGAGUGAAGUUAACCGGAUGGUGGGCAAGUAAUGUGAUCUUGUUAUAAGAUAGAGUGAGAGAUGUAAGCUUUUCAAGGCUAAGAAAAAUGCCAGCCUCUACUGUGCCAAUAAGGUUAUUAUCAUGUAGAUAAAGACUCUCAAGGUUCUUGAGUUGAGAAAAUGAGCUUUUGAUUGGACCUGCUAGUUUAUUCUGGUGCAAAGAUAACGUAGUUAACUGAGUCAUAUUCAUCAGCCACAAAGGGAUAACACCAGAAAAGUUAUUAGAUCCGAGGCUAAGAGUAGUAAGUCGGGUCAGGUUUGCAAGAGAUGGCGGGAUAUCACCAUACAGAUUGGUAUCUUCAAGGCUCAACACAGUAAGCUUAAUUAGCCUAUCAAGCCAAAUAAGCUUCCCUUGUUUAGUGAACAUGUUGGAGGAAAGUGAUAAAUAAGUUAGUUCAGUUAAGUUACCUAUGGAAGCCGGAAUUGAUCCUGAGAAAAGGCAUUCUUCGAGUUGCAGUUUUGCAAGUGACUGCAGAUUUCCGAUUGCAGCUGGCAAGUUACCAGAAAAUUUUGUGGAAGCAAGUUCCAAUGCAGUUAAGGAGUUUGUUUGGUUGAACUCCGGCAAAAAGCCAGUGAGAUUCUUAUUGCCACUAACAUUAAGAACAAGCAGGGCUGGUAGGUCGAAAAUGGCAACAGGAAAGCCACCACAAAAUUUGUUUGUGGAGAGGUCAAUUGAAGUUAAAUUUGACAUUCCAGAUAGUUGAGGUGGGAUUUGGCCAGAAAAGCCAGAUAAAGAUAGGUUGAGAUUGAUCAAACUCGAAAGUUGGGCAAUUUCAGGUGGUAUUGGAGAAGUCCUGAAGUUAUUGUCAGCCAAGUUUAAAGUUUGAAGGUGAACAAGGCUAAAGAUUGUGCUAUUAGAACGAAGAGGGCCAUAGAGUAAGCUACUGCCAAGGUGAAGACCAACGACAUAACCAGUAGUAUCAUCGCAUUCAACUCCAUACCAUGAGCAACAAUCACUACUGAAUUCUCCGCUAGCCUUCCAGGAUUCGGUUUUUGGGUAAGCAGAGGGAUCAUAAGAGGCAGACUUAUUCAGAGAAAGGCUUUGCUUAAAUUGCAACAAAGCAGACCUCUCAUGAUCAUGACACAAUGUAACAGUGGCCUGUGGUAACACAUUAGACUUAGCAAUGGCAUAAAGAAUAUGCAUCAAAAUCAAAAACACGUGGUUGCUAAUGGUAUAGCUCCCCAUAGCAAGUUUGAUCUUUUUAUAAUAUCCUGGUAUGUGCCAAUGCAAGCUCUAUAUAAUGCAAUUUGAAGCUGCAAAUUCAACGACAUGCCAUGGCCUCUGUCUAGUGCGUUGACGGACGUCAACUUCACUCCCUGCCAGAACUCCUUACCACUGAUUCACUGAAACUGAAAGGAAUCUUAUUCAAGACAUAUAAGUUUAUGUAACUAAGUAGUUAAUUUGGAUAUAAAUGUUGGAUUAGGGACAUGCCCGCGUUCACCUAAAUCUUAUGAAAUAACAUUACUGUAACAAUCGAUUGUCAGGAUCCUGAUAUAUACAUGAGAAGGGGGAUAGGAAUAAAGAGCUGUUCGAGCAAGUUGGUGGGAUCUCAAUUAUUUAUCUUCAUUGUGGAGGCUGUCAACCUGCAUUUCUAGAAUUUGUUUGUUUCCAUACUUCAACAGAAGAAGACACUGAAAUGUCUAUGGUCUAACCAGCCUACUUGUGGAAUCUUUCAAGCUAAUAAUAGUGGAAAAGAAGGUUUUCCAAAACUUCUGACUUUUCCAGUUUUGUUUGUAAAUAUAGAAGUCUGAUGGUGUAUGACUGUAUGGUCAUCGAAUAUUGUGCAUCUGUAUUUAGUGCCGACAUAGAGGCAACUGCAAAUGCGCCUCGGUUCCAACGUACAAUUUCCUUUUUAGGACGUAUCACCGAUUAUAUAAAUUUCAAAAAUAAUAAAUUUUUAUAAUAUAUAAUAUCAUUACAUCAAUUAUUCUUUUCCACUAUUUCUAUUCUAUAAUAAUAUAAAUAUUAUUACACCCGUUCCUUCUCUUCACUAUCUCAAAUUUUUUAUCAAAUAUAAAUGGUUUCCACCACUAUACCCACUUUUCAUCUAACUUUACUCAAUUCUUACACAAUUUCUUCAUCUCCGUGUUCCAACCAUUUGUAUACAAAUGGCUGGGACGGAGAGAGUACAAAUUUAAAUUUUUUGAUGUUAAAACAAUUAAUGUAACAGUAUUAGUAUAAUAUUAAAUAUAUAUCGAAUGGAUAUUCCUGAGAGCGUGUUAGCAAAUGUCUGUUUGUGUAAUAAGUUCUGAACUAACUUAAAGUCACAAACUGACUCUAAGAGCCACAACUUAGUUUGGUAUUUUUACUAAAUUUUUUUGAACUUUUUUUUGAUAAAAAUUAUCCUAUUAUCCAUAAAUCACUUUUAUUUUUCUUAUUAUAUUUUUAAAUUUUAAUACUCCCUCCGUCCCAGCCAAUUCUUUACGUUUGGUUUGGGCACGGAGGUUAAAAAAUAUGUAUAAAGUAGUGGAAAAGAGUAAGAAAAGUGGGUGAAGUGGUGGGACCCAUCAAUUUUUAAUGAAUAAAAGAGAGAUAGUGGAGUAAAAGUAGUGUGAAAAGGGAGGAAAAGUUGGGAAGUGGUGGGACCCAUUGAUUAUUUUUGGUAAGUUUUGGAAUGUAAAAAAUUGGAUGGGACAUCCCAAAAAGGAAACUGUAAAGAAUCUGCUGGGACGGAGGGAGUAACUCAUAAGAUGUUAAUAAGUCAAAAUUAUCCAAAAAGACGCUUUAAACUCACAGCUUAUCACAUAAGUCACAUAAAUCAUGUUAAGUCACAAGAUAAAUUAGCUAAUAUAAAUUUUACGAUAUACGUCAAAUAUAAGCCAAAAAAAAAAUUAAAAACUAAAACAGAAGACCUUUUUCAAUUUACAAUUCAAAAUUUAUAUAAUUACAUCGUGCAACUAAACAGUUUUUCUGUGUUCUCCUAAAAUUAGGAUAAUUUAAAUAAAAGUGCAAUCUUUGUCAAUAAUGAAAUGAUUAAUUUUGUAAAUCAUCUGAAUGCCUACCCUAUAAAUUAUUGUCUGAGCCUUUUAAUUUUCUCUAAUAACUCAAAAUUCUGUAAUGUUUGGACAAUCUGAUCCAAAAAAAUUUACUCUCAGUGUCUCGAAGUUGAAAAUGUGUAAAAGUUUAUAAGGAUAACUCACGUUUUAUGUAUGCUUAUUUUAAGUCACACCAAACCUCUUAUUUUAUAACAUUAAAAUAUAUAAUCGAAUUGAAUAAAUAUCCUAAUAAAAUUAUUGAUGAUAAAAUUUUGUGAGAUCUUAUUUAAAUUAGAGUAAAUUACAAAUUUGUGAUUGAACUUUAUUUGAUUUUGUAUUUUGAUUACUAAAUUUUAAAUUUAUAAUGUUAUAGUCAAAUAUUGAUUUUAUAUUUCAAAAAGAUGACUAUUAACCAAUUUUUUUAAGAAAAAAACUAUGCAUUAUUCAUUAAAAAGUGACUUUAGCAUAGGACUGAGCAUUUGGUUCGGUUAACCGAAUACCGAACCGAAAUUACCGAAAUAUUUCGGUUUGGUUAACCGAACCGAAAUAUUUCAGUACCUAAUUCGGUUAUGGUUUUCUGGCUAUUUCGGUAUUUCGGUUUUUUCGGUUUUUUUACCAAAUUAACCGAAAAAACCAAAUAACCGAAAUAUUUAAAAUAAAAUAUAUAUUUUUUAUUAUAUACAUAAAAGUUUACUUUUUAAUAUAUCUUAAUAUCUUACUUUUCUCGAGUUUGCUCCUUUAAAGAGGGAAGUCUAUGGGAAUCAGGUUUUGUCAACAUAUAUAUUAGAGCAUCAAAGAAUGCUUUUUAUAUAUUCUGGUAAAAUUAGGUUUUAAGAAGAAAUUGUUGAACAUCUCUGGUAAGUGUUCAAUUGGUUAAGCUAGUAAACAAACAACACUCCUCCAGCUAUAUACUAUCAUCCAAAAGGUAACCACAUCCCUCUUAAUUACUCCACUGCAUUUUGUUCAUCUUUAUGAUACUCAUGCUAACAUUGAUCUUGCUGUGUGUACUGUGUCCUCCUGUGUGUAAAUUGCUGUAAUUAAGUUCGCUCCUUCAGACAGAAAGGGGAAGUUCCAAAAAACUCAAAUCGGGGAUAUAUAUAUAUAUAUAUAGGGGGAGGUUCAAAAGAGACCGAGGCAAGGCGAGAGACUCGAGAGACCAGCUAUACAACCGUUGGAUCAGUUUUAAACAUGUGGCCAGAUUUACUAUACGUUAGAUUAGUAUAAAUACUGUUUAAAUCGUAUAAGGGCAGUAGACGGAAGGGUUUUAAUCUACAAAAUUAUAAUACCUACGUUUCAUUGUAUCAAUCACAGAUUGAUUAACAAACCUUCCUUUUAAUAUAAAGAUAAUGAAGACAAUCUAUAUCCCUGAUUGAUGCCUGUACGUAUUUUUUUUUUUUGUACGUUCAUGCUCUAUCAUCUCAAUGGAGAUCAAUCGAUCUUAUCAAUCUUUUUCUGGUAUGUGUUUUUAAUUCUACGAAUCAAAUUAUUGACUUGUUUGAAACAUAAAAUGGACUAUACAUGUUUUAUUUUUAUCGUUCUGCAGAUGCUUCAAGCAACAAUUUACACGAGGAUUCUAGCCUUUUUAAUGGUGUUGAUAUUGAUCUAAAGAACCUUGGAAAGGACUGGAUUCCCGAAUAUUUGAAUAGCUUAAAACCUAAACUGGGCCAACGUUUCAGUGAUCUUGAUCCGGGCUAUAUUUUUUAUAAGGAAUACGACAGACAAUCUGGAUUAGAUGUCCGUUGGUCAACCGAAAAGAGUGAUAGAUUUGGUAACACAAUAACAAAGUAUUACGUAUGUUCUAGGUCAGGUCGGCCGGAAGAUAAAAAUCUUGAUGAGAACAUAAAAAGAAGAAGAACUAUAUCAACAAAGUGCGAAUGUCAUGCAGAACUUGUGCUUGGGAUUCACGACGUUGGAGGAUUUUUUGUGAAAAAAUUUACAGAGGUUCACAAUCAUCCUUUUGCAGGUAAGGGAGGAAUGCAGUUCUUGAGGUAUAGCAGGUCCCUGACUGAGUUCCACAAGAGGUUCAUUGUCGAUGCACUGAGUUCCAAAAGUAUACGUAUUGUUUUAUAUACAAUUUAUGUAUCCAAUCAGUAUAUUUCCUUUUUUAAUAAGAUUUGUAAUGAUUUCAAGAUUCACCAGCUCAAGCAAUCAGGCUUGCAUAUAUCAGGCUUCCCAUAUAUCAGCUAUAUUCAUUAAUGUCAUUAAUUACUUACCUUAUAAUUUGUUUCAGUUACUUUUUCUAAUAAAUUGAUGAUGCUAUAUGACUAAGAUAAAAUGCUCGACUAAGAUACAAUGCUUAACUAAGAUCGUGCUCUUAAACGGAUCAUUGAAUCCAAAAUAUGACUCUGUAAAUCACACGAGAGAUAUUAUUUAGUGUUCAGAUUAAUGUUCUUUUGUUGAGUUCAUAAGUACACCCACAAUUGCACUAUUUUAAAUAUUUUAUACUGUUAAUAGAAUUUUUAUUUUAAAUAAAUAAUACUCUUUAUAUUUAUAAGAUAAUAUAUAUUGAAUCUUAUACUAUAAUAUCUAAAUGAAUGUUUAUAGUUGAACAUCAAAAUAAGUCUUUAUAAGAUAAGUGAAAAUGGAUAAAACUUAAAAAUCAUAAUAUUUAUUGAAAAACACAUUAAAUUUUAUAUCACAAUAAUUAAUGUAACAUUUAUUCAUAGUAGAACCCGUAUUACAAUUUUAAUAAUAUUAUUAAAAAUUUGUCAUUACAUAGAAAGUUUAAUGUCUCACUCAGUAGAAUCUUUAACAAUGCAUCACUAAAUUAUUUAAAAUUAAAUUUAACUUUAAUUGAAAAGAACACAUUACAAAAUUAAAUAUUAUAUAUGACCGAUUUCCUAAACAUCUAACAAAUUUUUUUAGUAGAAUCUUAAUGUAGUUAGAGAAUAAUAUAAUAAUAAUUAAUAUAGCAUAAAAAUUUUUAAUGUUAAAAUAUUAGAAACAUAAUAUCUUAGUGAAACACUUAAUUUUAUAUGAAGAUUUCAUAACGUGUUCGUGAAAGUGAUAAUAAUUAUAUUUUAAUAUUAAAAUCAAAAAAUAAAAAUUAUAACUAUAUCAAUAAGGUUCUAUUUGUAGUGUCCGCAAAAUCUCCUGUAUUUAUUAUUACUUUAAUAUUAAAGUUCACAAGAUUUUUUAAGGUAUUCCUUACACGGAGGAUAAAAACUUCAAGAUCAAAUAUCUUGUUUUAUUAAAAGUUCGAUGACAAAGUAUAAAUAUUUUCAACUAUUUGAGUAAGAAUUAUAUUGAUCAAUGAGUUAUUCACCAAUAUAACACAACUUACGGAAUAAUUUAUUUUUACAAAUUUAUUUUUUUCUUAUUGAUUCCAUAUACAGAUAUUCAACAACAUUUUUUUUGAAAGUAAAAAUUUAUACCCGGAAAUUCCAUAACGUGGUCAUGAAGUUGAUAUUUACAUAUUAAUAUUUAAAGGAAAUUAAAAUUACAAUAAUAUCAACAAAGUUUUACUAGUAAUAUCUGCAAAAUCUCUUGUAUUUAUUCCUAUUAUAGUUUAAAGAAAAAAAAUCUUGCUUUUUUUUUUUGUUACCGUUUAAUGUAAAAUUUCAUGUAGAGAAUCGAAAACGUUGCUAUUAAUGAUUUAAUGUUUUAAUUUAUAUUGAGAUUCCAUAACGUGUUCAUGAUAGUGAUAAGAAUAAAUACAUUUAAAUAUUAAAAAAAUACAAUGAUAUGAAUGAGGCUGUGCUAGUAAUUUCUGUAAAAUCUCCUGUAUUUAUCACUAUAUUAUAUUGAUUAAUUUAUAUUUUUUAUAUUAAAUUAUUAACUUAAUUUCACAAGAUUUUUUAAGGCAUUCCUUAAACACGUGAUAAAAAUUUUAUAUCAAAAGAAUUAAUGUAAUAUGUAUUAUUAGUAGAACCUUUAUUAAAAUCUUACAUGCUAAUUUAAAAUUUCAGAUAGAGAUUCUUUAACGUGUUAUAUAGCCAUAUAAUAAAAAUACAUGGUUGUGUUCUUUUAAAAUUUACUAAUAGAGAUUUAUUAUUUUGAUUAAUAUGGAGAUUUAUUAAGGUGUUCUCAAAUACUAAGGUUCUAAUGAGAAAUCUAACACCAUUUUGUAAAAAAUAAAAAUUUAUUCAGGGGAUUCCAUAACGUCUUCAUGAAGGUGACAAGAAUAAUUACAUAUUAAUAUUAAAAAAAUUAAAAUUACUAUAGUGUCAACAAAAUUCUACUAAUAAUAUCUUCAAAACCUCUUGUAUUUAUUCCUAUUAUGGUUUAAAGGAGAAAAUCUUUUUUUUCGUUAACGUUUAAAGAAGAAUUUUAUGUAGAGAAUUGAAAAUUUUGCUAUUAAUGAUUUAAUGUAUUAAUUUAUAUGGAGAUUCCAUAACGUGUUUAUAACAGUGAUAAAAAUAAAUACAUUUUAGUAUCAAAAUAAAAUAAAAUUACAAUGAUAUCAAUGAGAUUCUACUUGUAAUUUCCGCAAAAUAUCUUGUAUUUAUUACUAUAUUUUACUAUCUUAGACUUUUUUUCUAUAUUAAAUUAUUAACUUAAUUUCCCAAGAUUCUUGAAGGUGUUCUUUAGACACACGACAAAAAUUUCACGAUUAAAUCUCUUGUAUAAUUUUUAAUAAAAUAAGGUGGGAAGAUAUUAUUGGUAGAUUCAUUAAGGUGUUCGUGAAAGGAGUGUUAAAAAUUAUAAAUUUUAGUUUAUCCUACGACAUCACAACUCCCAUAACAAUCUCCGAGAAAGCAGCAUAAAAAAUUGAGAACGGUAAAGAAAAAAAAAAAUUCUUCUUUAAACCAUAAUAGGAAUAAAUACAAGAGGUUUUGAAGAUAUUACUAGUAGAAUUUUGUUGAUACUAUAGUAAUUUUAAUUUUUUUAAUAUUAAUAUGUAAUUAUUCUUGUCACCUUCCUAAUAAGUAUUUUAAUAAACUCUUAGAGAUAGUUAGUAGAACAUUAGAUAGAACACAAGAUAGAACACAUUUUAAACUCUUGGAAGAGAAAAUAACAAAAAAAAUAAAAUCUCACAAUAUCAAAACUUUCUCGGGAACAACCUCCAAGAAAGCAACAUAACAAAAAUAGAAAAAAUAUUAUUGCUACCAAUCUAAAAUAGAAAAAAUUUUAGUUUAUCCCACGACAUCACAACUCCCAUAACAAUCUCCCAGAAAGCAGCAAAAAAAAUUGAGAAAAAAUUAUUGUUAUCACUAAAUAUUUUACUAAUAUUCUUAAUCUAAUAAGUAUUUUAACAAAAUAGUUAGUAGAAUACUAGAUAGAACACGAUAUAGAACACAUUGUAAACUCUUGGAAGAGAAAAUAACAGAAAACAUAAAACCUGACAAUAUCAAAACUUUCUCUAGAACAACCUCCAAGAAAGCAACAUAACAAAAAUAGAAAAAAUAUUAUUGCUACCAAUCUACUUUGACUACCUAUCCACCACAAAUCAAUGAGACGUUCACUACCCAAUUCAAGCUGCAAACUCUCUGCAUAGGAUAAUGGAAGAUACAUACAAGCUUUUGAAAAGCAUACAGUUAUAAGCAAACCAAACCAAUAUCACUGAAUCUCGACGCCUCAGCUUUGCCAUAUCAUCUACAUCCAUACAACCCCAUAUCCAUCUCCAUGAACUAGAACAAAACGUUGCUCAAAGAUGUUCAAUGUUUAGAUUCUUAAAAGGUUAUAUAACUACGAAAAAUAUAAGGAUCACAAAAAACACCCAACUUCAUUAUUCAGGUAAUAUAUAAUCAAAACCUGACUUUUUAUUUAGGUGUUUUGGAGAAGAUCUAUCAAUGACCCCAGUCUUGAACUUUCGGGUUUUGAAAGCAUGUUCUCUUUUUUCAAUAAUCUCAACAAAUCUUAACCCCAUGUCAUAUCCAUAUAUGAGUCUGGUAAGAACAUACAAUAGAAUCAUGUAACUCUCCUACCUUGUCAUCUCAUCUUUUCUUCAUGACAAGAAUCUGCAAUGCUUCUCGAACCCGGCUUUUGAAGAUAAGUUGCAGCGAUGAGUGUCGAUGAUGAUUGUCUAACAAUAUGGAUAAUAUUUUAUAUUAGGGUUCUGCGAAACCUUCUUUCAUUCAUGGCUGAUGCACUCUGAGUUUGAUACUAGGGUUCUGUGAAAAUUUGUUUUGCGCCUCGAUAUGAUAAUGAUAUUGUAUUUUUUAAUAUACAGUUGUGCAAGAGUUUCCAGAAAUAAGAAAAUCCAUGAUUGAUGCUUCCAUCCAACCUCAACAAGGGGGGAUUUGGUUCAAAUGCCAUUAAUAGGAACCUUGAUACCUCAGGAGGAUACUCCUUCAAUUCAAAACUUAGUACAGAACCAAAACCCGUCGAGCAAAUCCAUGAUUUCUGAUCCUGAGUCAGAGAGGACAAAGCUUCUACAAGCAAGCAAGGGCUAAGUCUAACAAUCGAUCGAUCAUGCCUGUACGUUGGAAAAAACGGAAAAUAACAUACGCGAUUCUAGUUAGAGUUUCAUAAACAAGUCGUUAGGAAAAGGAACAGUAUGUAGAAUAUCUUUUCAUAUAACGAACCUUAUUUCAUCCAUGUCUGUUUCAGUCGUCGUCGUUUCUAGGGUUUUAUGGAGCUUUCUUCCGCGCCUGUAGUUUUUUUUUCGUUUGUUCUAAUAAUGUAGUUGUUAAUUGUAAUAAAACCUUCCAAUAUUAAAAUAUCCCAUGAUUGACGCUGUUGUAUAAUCAGUUCAAAUCUUUCCUUCAUAGGUUCCGUAUAAAAUUCGUAUUUAUGUUUUUAGCCUUGUAUUUUGCCACAUGUUCUGACCAGCGUGCCCUUGUGAGUAUAGAUAUUGUACUGAUGUAAUCGACGGUUGUUAGAGGGUCUCUAGGGUCUCUCAAGAUGUAAGGUCUCCCUGGAACUNNNNNNNNNNNNNNNNNNNNNNNNNNNNNNNNNNNNNNNNNNNNNNNNNNNNNNNNNNNNNNNNNNNNNNNUAUAUAUAUAUAUAUAUAUACUAGGACUUUUGCCCGGCUACCGCCGGUAUAUUCUUAGUCAGGAGUACUUUGAAAAAAUUGAAUGGAAAUGUUUUAAACAAUAGGCCCUAAAAGGGACUAAAGUGCUAUCAUAAGUCUCUAAGAAUUUCUGUUUAAUACUAAAUAGGUAUAUACGAAUUACGAAACAUAGUGAGCAUUCUUAUUUAACUAAUUGGACCGAAGCAUAACAAUUGGGCUAACGCCGGCAUAUUCUUUGGGCUAAUAUGAAAGAGCUUGGGGGAAAUUGCUUAAACAAAAGGUUUACAUGGAUGCUUUUGAAUACAGCCCAUAAUCACAUUAGAACUCAGAUGUAUUUCAAUAUUAAAGUAUUAUUUGAUAUUAUUUUAUUAUUACAUUACUCUCUCCGUCACUCUCAUUUCUUUACAGUUGUCUUCCACCCCGACACGCAUUUUAAGACACUUAUAAGACAUAUAGUUUCGUAACUUAUUUUUGAGAUUUUAUUUUUGUGUAUAAAAAUUCAAAUAUUAAAUUUUUAUUCAAAAAAUAAAAGAUUAAAAAAUAAAAUAAUUACGUUUUCUAUGAGCAUUAAAAUAUGUGUCAAACUCUCGUCCUCAAAGUAAACUACCCAGGGAAGAGAGGGAGUAGUUAAUUAUUAUCACAUAUAUAAUGUUUAUGUCAUACAUUCUACAGAGGUUCAAUUUGAACCAAUAUAUUAUAUUUAUCUCAAAAAAAAUUCAAUAAUCAAUAAAAUUUGUUUUCCUUUAAAAAUUUUGAAUUAGUAAUAUUUUUUAGUAUAUAAAAAUUCGUUUUUUAUUAAUUGAUUCUCGGCGUCGCUGCUCGGCGACGCCUUGCACUUUAAUCGAAUAUUUUAUAUUUUAUAAUCAAAAUAAUUUAUACAGCUAGGCAACGACUCACAUUUUUGUUAAAUAAUUUAUAUUUUUUAAUUUUAUAACAAACAAUAUUUCUUGUUUAUUACUAUGUGUAAUAAUUAUGAAGUAGAAAUGUUCCCAAGUCACCCAUCAAACAUUGCCCCCGUGAUUCAUUUGGCUUAGUUUCUCACUAACCAAAUCUUUUUGAAGCUAUUAUAUACUUCUUUCAACUUUUUGCAGAGUCAUAUAUAUGUUUUUUUGACGGAUUCCAGAGUCAUAUAUAUGAAACAAAUCUUUUAAGCAAAAUGACAGAAAAAGCAAUUAAAAUCUGGACUCAUUUUCCUUUUGUAAUAAUUAAAGCAAAAUAAUACAAAAGGCAUUACUCAUCUAUACUAUAUUAUAAAAAGCCAACAUGAGUAUAAUUUGUAUUCGUACAAAAUUUUGGUAUAGUACUCUCGUCUAAAACUAAAAGUCUACAACAUGUAAAUAUCUAUUAAACAGUUUUAUAUACUAAAAACACUCCUUAUGUAUAUUAAUAUCUUUUUAAAUAUAAUUUAUAAUUAGUUAAAAAAGUGAAACUACUGUUAAUAACAUAUAUUAAUAUUAAAAAAUACUUAUAGAUAAAUAUAUAACUAAUAAUAAAUAUACAAUUUUGAAUAUCUUUUUUUUUUAACGUAGGAACCCGCAGCCGCUACCCUUCGGGUGCGCACUGGGUAAACCCAGGAGCUCACGUAAUAGCCUGCAAACUACGUGAACCAAGGUAAACCGCACCUAAGCGCGACAGGUUCUGAUACAUUUAAAUAAUUGGAGACGCUACUUUUUAAUUAUAAUGUAUUCUACUCGAAAUUUAACUCUAACGUGUUCAAUUUCAUUACAAACACGAAUCAUUACGUAACAUAUGAAGAUAUAUGAAAUAUGAAAAUUUUAAUUUAAAAUUAAUUGAAUAACAAACUGUCACAUAUUAAUAUCAGAAAAAUAUUUAUAGAUAGAUAAUAAAUUGUGAAAGCUAAAUUUCCGUUAGACGAUAUAAUCAGUUGGUUAAUAUAAUUUAAUUAAAAUCCAAUUUAUUAAUACUAAAAUACUAAUAAUAUAGUGUUAAAAUUUAAAUUAUAAUAAUAAAUUAUGAAUUAUAUAUCCGCUCGGGCUUUGCACGAGUUAAAUGCCAGUUUAUAUUAAAAAAACAAAGAUAGAUACGGUGGGCUUGUAAACAAAAGGAUAACUGCAUUUCUGGUACAAUUAUGUCUCAUGUACUAUACAAAUAUCAUACCCUUGCAUUUACCAUAAAUGUAUUUCAUUUUUUUAAACUCUAAAUAUGUACCAAUUAAAUUAUGUUUGAAAGCGAACAGGGGCGGCACGUGAGACACAGAUGAAUCAUAACAUGCCUAUGGCAAAUAUAGAGUAGCAGCCAUAUUUGAAAUUUCAAAUUCAAAACCAAAGGUGUGGGACUGGUUAAUGGCUCAUCAUUACUUCCUCCCAUAUUCAAACCUCACACAAAACAGCCAUUAAAGCCUUUAAGACUGAAUUUAGUGGGGGGUUUGUUUCCGCCUUAAAAGUCGAGCUUCUGGUUUAUAAAUUAGAAACACUUAUUUGUACCGUUUGUGUAAAAAGUCAAGAAGCACUUAUAAAAAGCUAGGAAUGCUAGUUUUUGUUUCAGGACUUCUUCUUAUUUCCCAAACACUGUAAUCACUCACUCCCUCCGUCCCAUUUUAACUGCUUUUGACUUUUUAUACGUAUUUUAAGGUGUUAAAAAAAUCACAUCUAAACAUAAUUAUUGUUUAUAAAAUUUAUAUCAAAUAAAAGUUUAGAAUCUAAACUUUUAUUUGAUAUAAGAAUUAAAUCUUUUUAUUAAGCGUAGAUACUAUUUUUUUACACCUCAAUAUACGUGUCAAAAAGUCAAACAUCAGUUAAAAUGGGACAGAGGGAGUAUAAGUUUUAACUUAUUUCUAAUUUUUAUUCUAUUUUUUUAUUUUAAGCAAAAAGCACUUAUUUUAAGUUCACCCAAACGGCCCCAUACUAUGAAAGACUCAUAUGCCUUUAAGACAUAUACAUAAAAUUGUAUAUGUCUUCUCAUGCAUGUAAUAUAAUAUCGUGAGAAUAUAAUAGUAAAAGACUGUAUUCUCUAUCAAGACAAUAUUAGCCCAAUGUAGGUCAACAUAUUACUUUUUUUUCGUGACACAUACAUCUUUUAUCCUUUGAAAAUAUAGCAAGUUAUUAAGAGAAUGUUACUGUAUAAACAUAUACCGGAUCCUUUAUCUGUUGUAUUAAAACACAAUCAAAAAACAGAGACGAACUUACGUUAAAGCCUUUAAGACUGAAUAUAUUAUGAAAGGUCUUAAAAAUUUUGGCCAGGUUACGCUAUAUAACCGUAUCAAGUUAUCAACUUAGUUUUAAGAUAUAAUAAUCAUAUAAACACUAUCUUUAUGUUGGAUUAGAAAUACUUUAAAUUACAGGAUUUCGUUAUUGUCAAUCAAAUAAAUUUAAAUUUUUUCUUUUAUGCAUGUAAUGUAUGCUCACUAUGAGGCACAAAUGUAAUAUAUUGUAUACCCAAUCCAAUAUGAAAAUAACCACUAUCCACCACCUUACUAAUUUUUAAUACUCAAAUAUUAAUCUCUAAUCAGUGAUAAAUUCAGUUGUUUAGUUCAGAAUAUGUUAAUAUAACUACUACAUCUUUAUCUUAAAUGGUCUGAUGCACGAUUGAAAAUCAUUGACUUACGUUAUGCUUUACGUUCAAAUUGUAAAAUUGUACAUGACUUUAAAUAUUAAAAACUUUCAAAACUUUAGAGUCGUAUAAUGCAAUUCUAUUUUUUCCGUAUUAUAGCUUUUCUUUUAUACAUGUGUCCGACGUAUAAUAGCACUCACCAAUAGCUAGACAUAGGGCCUGGAGUUAAUGCGGAAGAAAUUAUGUGAUACACUCGAUCAGUUUGAACAACUACAAUCACUACACAACAUCUUCUACUGACACAUUGCAGAAAACUUUUAUCUUCUGCAAUGAGUGCAAAGUUGAAAUUAAAGCAACUCAUUUGUCAAAAUAUAUUACUAACAUAAUUGUUGAGUCUGACUUUCUUUCUGGUUAGAUUAUUUAAAAUCGAGUAACACGAAACCUAAAAUUGCUUUUGAACUGAUAUACAUGAAAUAUCUGGUAUAACUAAACAACACGGCCGAAGACUCCAAGCUUGCUUUCUAUUCAUUUCAAAAACAGGUAGACUUUGUAAUAUUCAGUCUACACACCACUUCAGAUAAAAUUGUGGGCUGAACUGUUCACAACUCAUUACUCAAAAACGUCUUCCACUCCCACAAAGUACUCCCUCCGUAUAUUUUUUCUUUUUCUAUUUGUAAUGUCGGUACUGUUCAUAACAUGAGACAAAUUACUAAUUUACAUCUAAUCUAUAAAACUAAAUAUAGUCAUGAGUGAUCUUGUUAGAUUCGUAUUCACGAGUACUUUAAUACGGUGAAGUUUUUAUAUUUAAUGCUACUACAAAAUGAAAGAUAUUAACGAUCAAAAGUGUGUGUUGGCAAAUGGAAAAGUACAAACAGAAAAAGUAUUUAGGGACGGAGGAAGUAAUACUAAUACAGUAAUGCUUUGUAUACAAAAGAGAAGUUUAACAACGUCACACAUCAAGCAUUUACUACAACAUCAUCGUGAUGUGUUACUAUCUCUGCGAUCAAACCAUUUCAAAGUUACUGUAAUACCUUACUUUUCAAACUUAUUCAAACUGACUUAAUACAAUAAGAAACAUAGCAUAAAAACAGAAGACAGAGUACAUGAAGACUCCAAAUUUGGUAUGCUUAAAAACUACAGACAAUCUAUCGGACACUACAUAUACUAUGUUACACGUAUAUUGUAGAACACUUCCUUAAACACAACAUUAUCAGUAUAUUUGUACUGUGUCCACUGCUAUCAUCAACGAAAAUUUUUAAGACCACGUCGACUGGUAACCCGACUUACAGCACUGGCCAUGCGUGAACACUGAUAUACCGGGCAUCUUUUCAACAGCACACACACCUUUGGCAAAAUUCUUAUCAUACCGCGCAUUAAGAUUCUCAUAAUGCUGCCAAUAUUCAUCAUCAUUGGUAUCUGCAAACAAUUUGAAUAUAUGAAAAACAAAACGGUAUACUAUUCCUUCAAACAUAUAAUGUUAAAUAAUUCUUACAUACUACUAUCAUCACGAAACAGAUUGCAUUAACAUAAUCAAGACCAACAAUUCUGGACUUCUCUGCAAUGGGUAUGGGAGUGGUAUGCUGUAAAAAAAUUAAAAGUGAACUAAUAACAUCUAAAUUAAUCUCUCACCAACGUCCUCAUAGCCCACUACAUACUCCACGAUCCUAUCUGGCAUUUGAUGGCCAAAAGCUAGUUUCUUAUUAACUUCAUCAACAGCAAAAGUUUCUUUCCUUUUCAAUUUACUCUUCCCAUGCAUGUAAAAAAAUUCCAACGCAUGGAACAAAAUAUAUACUAAUACUAUAAUAUAACACAGUCAAUCACCUUUUAUACUUGAAAUUAUAUUUGACUUUAUCUGAUCAAGAGGAAAAUAUUCAGCGUGCGGAGAUUCACAUUGAUUGGUACUCGAAAUAGGGGGAGGCAACGCCUCUGAGAUUGCACAUCAGGUUCUUUUUCAAAGCAUAAUCAAAUGGUUAGUCAUAAGUUAUAACUUGCGUUUAAUUUAACUAUAGUACAUAGUAACAUGUAUAUUACCCGGCGUCAAAUUUGGAGGACAUAACAACUGGAAAUUUUCAUCGCACAACAGACCAGGCAUAUGUAUCAUAAUUUCUUGAGGAGAGUGUGCCGUUGAUUUCUAUGAAAAUAUACAACGAAAUAAGAGAUAAGUAGGAGAAUGUAAAAGCUGUCAUAGAUUGAACUAUAACGGUUGCAAUCAGUUGGUUUACCUGCGUACUUCGCAAGAAAGAAUGAUUAGAAACAUCCGACAAAGGAGUUCUACGCUGCGUACUGCAUGAAAAGUGACCGCAACCGGCUGCGAGACCGGUCCGAUCAAGUUAACUGCUGGAACAGGAUUACCUACAUGGUAUAUGUCGUAACGAAAAGAUUUAGAGAGAUGUGAAAAUUAUAACAGGAACAGAUUAACGAAAUGAAUUUUUUAAAGAAUCCAGAUUUCUAACAAUCCAGAUACAGAUCUCAUCGGAAAGAACCGGCGAAACCAAAGCGUUUUUAUCAGUCCUCCAAUCAUGGUACAACCCAUCAGCAGCAUGAGUUUCUCUUCCCUGUGCAAGAGACAUAUAACAUAUAUCAACAGCAGACAAAAAAACAAUAUAUAUCUAAAUUUAAGCGUCGUUGAAGAUAUACCCGGUCCAUUAAAAACAGUAUUCGUUUACUAAGAAGAGAAUGAGAGACGAAGCGGCUUCACUGGAGAGAAGAGGAGCAGUUUUGGGGGGAAGAGGAAAAAGCAGCUUUGGAGAAAAUAAUGAAUCUUCUGAUAUUUGAAUUUUCUAAAUGAAAGAUAAAGUUAAAAGAGGAGGAAAGAGAGGGCCGCAUAAGUCAACUGCUGCAGGGGAAGUAAUGAUCAAUGGCAAGUUUUGUAAAAAAGAGAUCCGCGAGGGGUAACCAUAGUAAAAGUGACUCGUAUUUGCCUUCAGGAUUUAUAUUCUAUAGAUAUAUAUAUAUAUAUAUGCUGUUAUUAAUGUACUAAACUAACUUUAAAUGAUGUAAUGAUGUUGUUCUUCAUUAUUUUGUGAAUUUUCUCUUUUAUUUUUGUGAUUUUUGUUUAUUGUUACAAAAUUUCGGUUUUUUAUUUCGGUAUUCGGUUUUAACCGAAAUAAAAAAUUCGGUUUGGUAAAAUAACCGAAUUAAAUUCGGUUCACUAUUCGGUUAUGGUUUUUGAGCUUAUUCGGUAUUUCGGUUAUUUCGAUAUUCGGUAAUUCGGUUCGGUUUUUACCGAAUAAUCAGCCCUACUUUAGCAUACCAUUUCGAAUAGUUAAAGUAAUGCUUAAUCAUCAUAUUGUAAAUCUAAAGUUUAGGACCCUGAAAUAUAAAAACAGACAAAAUUCGACCAUCACUUUGCAUUUUACUUUUUAAGUUACUGAUUUAGAUACUUAAUUUAUAAAUUAAAUAUUAUUGAAUGACCUGAUAUUUUAAAUUAUUUUGUAUUAUAAUUUUCAAACAUUAUGUAUGUAUUUAUAAGUUAUAAUAUGCAAAUACAACAGCUACUAAUAUAAAAUAUUAUCGAACACAAUAAUAAUACAAAAGACGUUUACUGUGAAUAGCUUCACAAUUAUUUUAAAUUAGAAAUUAUACAUGAAAAAAUAUUUUUAAUUUUUCAUUACGCCGUGUCUAUGUUUCACGAAGAUAUAUGUCUAAUUAGUCUUCUAAAUGAGAAUAUUUAUAUUAUAUAAUUAUAUAUAUAAAAUAAAAUUUUGGUUGGAUGUGUUUUAAAAUUUUGAAACUUAAUUUUUUCACAAGUUUUUAAAAUUAAAAAAUUAGAUAAUCUAAAUUUUUUAAUCCUCUUUUUUCCCACGUAAAAUAAAAUUUAGUGAACAUGGGUGCACUGCUCUUUCUCCAAACAUGUUUUUUGUUGGUCAAUUUGUGAACCGACAUCCAUUCGGAAUUAGACGCGUUGAUAUCACGUCAUAUAUUAUUACCUCGAUCCUCGACACCCCCAAAACCAUUUCUCUCUUUUCAAAAUCCCCAAUUCUCAAACCCUAAUUACACAUCUUCAUCACAAACCCUAAACCUAAUCAUGCUACUCUCUCCGGGCCAUUCGCCACGCAAUCUCUCCUCUCCCUCCCCAUCUCUCUCCGAACACAACAAUUCAACUCCCAAUUACAACAAUUCAUCGGCGUCUUCGUCGUCAUCAUCGAACCCUAGAAAACGGCAAGCUGUUCUUGAUGAAGACUCGUACGUGGCGGCGAUCGAGAAGAUUAUUGAGAGAGACUUCUUUCCGGAUAUUCCGAAGCUGCGGGACCGGUUGGAUUGGCUCCAGGCGGUUCGGACGGGCGACCCGGUUCAGAUCCGAGAUGCGCAGUUGAAGAUUAUUGAGCGGAGAGCUGGGAAGGUGAGUGCUCUGGAUGGUCAAGGUAAGGUCAAGACUCCUGGCUCGACUUUUUUUCGAAAUAGUGUUUCCGUUGAUAUCGAAAAAACUCCGAUUGUUGAUGGUGUUGGUAAUGAUGAAUUGAGUGGUGGUGUGGGGGUUGAUGAUGGGGGGAUUGAUCAGAGUUUGAGCUUGGAUGGGUUUUUUAGGCGGUAUACGAGCGAGGAUAAUGAGAGUUUUUCGAAGUUGAUUGAAAAGGUGAAUAAGAAGAAGAGGGAGCGGUAUGCGUUUUUGUUGGAAGGGGAGAAGGAGGAGGGGGUUAAGAGUGUUGAGGACGUGAAGAGGGAUAGGAUUACGGAUGGUUAUGGCACAUCAGAUCAGCCACCGAGUAGUUUGGAAGGGUGGAAGUAUACAGCGAAGAAUUUGUUGAUGUAUCAUCCGGCAGAUAAGGGUGAGUUGGCAUUAACGGAUGAGGAGAAGAAUGAGAGGCUUAGUGCGUUGACCAAGGAGAUUAGUAGGGCAAACACGAGGUUUCAUGGGAAGAUGAUUGAUUCGGUGAAGAAGGAUGAGGAUGAUUUGGCUGUGCUUUAUACCCCGGUUGCAGGGGGGACACCACAUCCCUUUUCAUUGUCGGAUAGGACUGGUGAUAAGUUGAAGAAGUAUGAUUUGGAUGAUCUAAGGAAGACGCCUAAUCCGUUUUAUGUUGAGUCGAAUAAGAAAGCGGAUAAUGGUUAUAGUUAUGUGAAGACUCCGUCGCCUGCUCCUGGAGUUGAUGAGUCGCCGAUUAUUACAUGGGGAGAAAUUGACGGUACUCCUUUAAGAUUGGACCCUGAGGAUACCCCGUUUGAUAUAGGUGGUAGUGGUGACGGGCCUCAGUUUAAGAUUCCUUUGCCACCUACAAGAGAUUUGAAGGCUCAUUCUUUGUCUAGGGACGCUGCUCGUAAGAUUAGGGAGAGGUCGAAGAUGAAUCAGAAGCCACCACUACAUUCACCACUUAGAGGGGGAAGUGCUAGUCCAGGUGCACGAACUCUGUCUCCUGCUGCUCAGAAGUUUUUCAGAAGUGCCAUUGCCAAGUCCUCCCACUCUGUUGAUGAAUCUCUUCGUGCUAGUUAUCGUGGUGCAAGCCCUGGGGUUGCUACCCCUAAAGUUGGAAGGAGUAUGUCAAGGCUUGGAAGAAAUGACAGAACAAUUUCCAGGUCACCUUCCAUAAAAGAGGGAUCUAACCCUCCUUGGUAAUGUGUAUUUCUUAAGUUGUUUUUGGGAAGUAAUAGGAUUGGUUUGUAACGUAUGGUAUGUGGUUUAAGGAAUAACAUCCGUAACCAAACCUAAAAAUCUUUUCUGCUUAAAAUGUACUGGCACAGUAAAAGUUGGUGAUAUAAUCUUUGUACUUCGUUGCUGAUUCAUUCUUCUUUCUGCGAAUUUUAUUUGCCUGUCUUUGUUAUAAUCUUUGUGCUUAGUUGCUGUUCAUUUCUUUUCUUGCUAAUCUUAGUUGCCUGUCUUUGUUAUAACAGUUGUACGUAGUUACUGAUAUAAGAUGGGUGGGGAUCUUUGGCAUGAACUAAUUUUUUGAAUGUCUAGGAGCUUUAUGGGUUGCAGUUUGUUCAGCGUCAAGACAUACUACAGAAAUAUGGAUAAAUUUUGUUGUUAUUACUUUUUUUGGUAUCUUAAAAUAUGGGACAUGGACUUUUAAUUAUUAAAUAGUAGGGAACUAGUUUAGUUUGUCAAUUUAUACUCAAAGAUUUGACCAGAGGAAGAGAACUCCAAGCCUUCAAUCACCAAUUUUUCCUUCUUUUUUACCCCGAGCUAUAGUUUACUACAUUGCUAUUGUGUUCUUGCCGUCACAUCACAAACAAUGGCUUACAGGGAGGGUUUUUUAUAUUUCUUGGUAGUGAAUUAUUCUACAAGUUGCUUUUUAAGCUCUGAUACACAGGGAAAUCUCUAAAAAAAAUUUUAUUUAUUAUUUUGGCAAUGUAUGGUAGCUUUGGUGAAUAGCUUCAUUACUUGUUAGACCAAAUUAUGUAUGUUAGUCUAAAAGUUGAGGUCUAUGCAUUUUACCACUAUCUUUUUCCACUAAUUUUUCUUGCGAUAGACUUGUGAUGAAUAAACAGUGUUUUUGCUUCAAGAUGAGUUUGUAGUCAGGAGCUCGUUAUUAUUGGAAGUACCAUUACAGUUUGGAAAUAUCUCCGAGUGGAACAGGUUUGAACAGAAUUCAUGUUACAUGUGAAGUUGCUUGAACUUGGUAUUUGGUAGUCUCUGUAAGUAGAGCCGACCAAUCGGGCGGGCUGUGCGAGCCGGGACGGGUCGCAACUGAGUUUGGCAUGCCAGAGUAAAUGCCGGAGUAAAAACCUUAAGCGGCAGGCCGUGGAAACGAGCCGUCCCGGGCUCAGGCUGAACCACACAAAGAUGCCAAAGAAGUUGCACAGAGGUAAUUACUGAAUCUAAGAAGCAUUCCUUCUCUUGAGAGAUUGCUGACGGAUCACUCAAAGCUAGAAGAAAAGCUAAUUCUCUGCUUAGAUUACUCAAUAGAUAUUCCUUCCAGUCUUGAAAACCUGCCAGAAAUGGAGACAAUGAAGUAUAUACAAUUAUUAAUUAUAAAUACUUAAUGAAGAAUUUACAAUUGAAAGAGAGAAAUGUAAACUAAUACUAGUACGACUGUAUGACAUGGAAACUGUAUUUGUGCUACUCUGUCAUUGGACUUUGCAGAGUCUUCAAUCUGUGAUCUAAUAGCAGUGAUGCUACUAAUGAAGUUUCUUGCAAUCUGUGAUCUGUUUCUUCCCAGUUCCAGCUUCUUGCUUGAGUUGGCCGCUUUCUGAUUCCCUCCUACUAUAUAUGGCAUAUGUUGCACCUGGAUAUACUUUCUUACGGACGGUAUUCGUGUAGAGUGUAGAUUAUAGAUAGUAGAUUAGGGCAGCGGCGCAGCACAGGCCAGGGGGCGGCUAGAGAUUUGGGUGACCCUAGUCAAAAUCAGUUUUGAGGACCCUAAUGUCCUGAGAAUGUUUAUCCACGGUACAGUUUUAUAGUUGUUAGAUAAUGUAUCUUACUAUUAGGAUUAUAACAAAUUUCUGACACUUCCAACUCUAGUUUAAAUAAAUCGUUAAUAUAUACUCUACAUAUUUCACAGUUAAAAAACUGUAUGUUAGAUGAGCCCUCCUGUCAAGGACUAUGAUUCAUUUAUAUAUACUCUACAUAUUUCAUAUAUUUACAUAGAUUUAAAAAAUUUUGGGACCUUAUGUGUUGGGAACCCCACACCUAUACGUAAAUUUCGUCCGUCUAUAAUCAGGUCCUCAAUGUAGCACAUGAGGUAGGGGUGUUCGCGGUGCGGGCGGUGGGGUUUUUCUCUAAAACCGCAGACCAACCCGUAUAUGCGGUUUGGUUAAAUAUUCAAACCGCGACCGCACCGUGUUAAUAAAAAACCACAUAAACCACACCACAUAAAUGCGGUGCGGUGCGGUUUAUGCGGUUUGUGCGGUCUAACAAUUUCGCUUUUAAAAUUAUAAAAAAUAAAAAUUAAAAAUUAUAAUAAAAUUUAGAAGUCACUAAGUAUUUUUGUCUCUUCAUUCAGGGACCUAAUCAACAUUCAAGUGUGGUCACAUUACAAAUACAAACUCAAAAAACAAUGUUAUAUUGAAAAGGAGUAGAACAUUUCAAGAAUCGAAUACAAAUUAGAGCUAAUAUUGGGUUACAGUAAAGACUAUUAAAUUGGGCAAAUAUGAAAUAUAAUGCAUAUCUAUAUGGACUCGGUCUAUCACGAAGUCAGUAUAAUCUUUUAAUAAAUAAAGAUGUAAUAUAUUAAUAUAAAAAAUAAUAUAUGUAUAUAAUAUAUAUAUAUAUAUAUAUAUAUAUUAUUAUAUGCGGUGCGGUGCGGUUUGAACCGCGAUACUUAAAUAUAAAACCACAACCCGCACCGCACCGCGCGGUUUGUAAGAAAUUCAACCCGCGACCGCACCACAAAAAUUUAAAACCACGUUUUGUGGUGCGGUUUGGUGCGGUGUGGGCGGUUUGUGCGGUGUGGGCGGUCCGGUGAACACCCCUAACAUGAGGUGAACUAUUCAAGAACUGAUAUUGACUAUAACAUGUGAGCCGUCCUUUAUGCUGAUGGUCAAGAUUCGAAAAUCACGAGUUCAGUGACAAGCAACGUUUUUCUUUUGAUGAAUAAACAGCACACUUUUGCUUCAAGAUUGAGUUUGCAGUUGGAAGCUCGUUAUUAUUGCAAGUAAAUAUCUCUGAGAUGCCAUCUACACCGGGCACAGGCUUGAACUGCACAAUUCGUGUUGCAUGUGAAGUUGCUUAAAUUUGAUAUCUGGUAGUCUCUUCUAGGAAGUGCAUGCUGUUGAGAUUUUCCAAUCUUUUGUGAGCUUGUAAAGUUAUGAUCUGGAAUGGCCAUGUUGCCUUUUAAGCACUAAAAAGGUCGAGUAGAUUCAAUGCUCUAACAAAGCAUACACGGAUGGUUCGUGACAUUAUAAACCAUGGGGGAUGGGGCUCGAUCUACUUGCUAUACUUGAUCUUAUUGCGAUUAAUUAUCGAUUUUUAGUGAGCAAAGGCUUGACCACACAAUAUUUAUAAAUAUUUACUUAUAUCCGGAUGAGUGUCAUCCGUGUUAUUGGGAUAAGAGUUUUAAUUUAUUAUAAAUACUUUAAUUUACCUAGUAGGUUUAAUAUAUUUUAACUUACAACGUAUUUAAUCAAUUUUAUAUUAGAAGAAAGAAUUACUCUUUUAUAUUAGAAGAAAGAAUUACUCUUUCGAUUCCACUCAUUUUUAUAUAGUUAUUUUAUAUUAAUUGAUAAAUAUUUUAAAUUUUUUAUAGAAUACAAUUUUAUAAAUUGUUUUUAAACUUUUAUUUUAAAAAUCAAAAUAUUAAAUUUUUAUUUAAAUAAAAUAGUUUAUAAAGUUAUAUUUUAUAAAUGUGGUAAAAUCAGUGGCGGAACCAGGACUAGAAGUUAGGGGGGGUUGAAAUUUUUUUUCAUCUAUACUUGCAUAAAUAGCUUUCUCAAUAUAUAUCAUCAUACCAUCAUAUUCAGUCAUGCAUCUCCCAUCCUAUCACGCUGAUAAGUCUUGAUCGUUUUAUAUAUAGCAGAAAAAACUCUCUCAACAAUAGCAAUAACAACGGGUAAAACUAGAGCUAACCUCAACCAAAAGAUAAACCAAGGGAUAAGCAGUGUGUCUGUGUGUCUUAACCGUCAUGACAGAAAGAUUUCCUAUACUUUGAAGUCCAGAGUAAUCUUUAUCCGCUCUCACAUCACAAAUAAACUUGUCUAUCUCAUUUGAUAACAACUCCAGGUCUAGUAAAGAGAUAUCCUUUGGAUAAAAUUGUGCAAGUCAGAAAAUUAAUUUCUAGGAUCCAAAGAGCAAAUAUAAAGUAGUAGCUCUAUGUUUCCUUCUGUAAAAUGAUAAUCCAUCUCUUGGGAAAUAAGAUUAAUAAAAUAAAACUGUCUUUCUCUCUUGAUAGCUGCAAUUUAAUUUUCAUUCUUCGAACCAUUGUCAUAGUAUUUAUAAUAUUUCGAGUUCUUUGUUGUAAAGCUUAUGACAAAGCAUUAAUAAUUAAAUGUAUUUGUUAAUUAGACUCUCUUUAGACUAAGUGCCUUGUCUUUUCUUUUUUUUCAAUAAGUCCCUCUCCAUGACAUUUAUAAUUCAACGGGGGCUAAAAAAUAUUAUACUGACAUCACACUAAUUCAGCGGGGACUGAAAAAAAAUAUACAUUAUUUUUUCGAAGUUAGGAGGGGUUCUAGCAUCCCCUAGCCCCUCUCUGGUUCCGCCACCGGGUAAAAUCCGUGCCGAAAUCCUCAUGCCCAACCCGGGACGAAAGACCUUUUGAUACAUCACAUGACGGAUUAUUUUUAUAUUUUAAUUUUUACGUGAUGAACUUAGACAUUGCUCUUAUUCUUAUCAAUUACUAGAAUCGUAGGUUAGGCGUUCAUAAUAUCCACGUUUGUAAUAGAGAUUUAGGACCAUUGACUUAAAGUACUUUUUAUUCAAUCAGAAAUCAUUUACAAAUUCUCUUACUAUUCUAUAUGAAGAAAAACAAACAAAAAUGACAACAUUACAUAUGCAUUUCCUUGAUUCUUUUGUCAACCUUGCUCCAUCUAAUACACAAAAGUUAAUAUCGUUAUGAUAUUCGAAAGAUAUAAUUAAUUACUUAAAGUAGUAAAUGAAAUACAUAUAAAUGAUAAUUGGUUAAAUACAUAUUGUUAAUUCGAAUUAAUAUUAUAAAUAUAUAAUAUACCAAUAUCAUAAUCGUAAAAAUUGAUAAUCAGUACUAAUCGGUUGAUCUACUGAUUCAAAUUAUAAGAAAUUUAUCGAAGACUUUAAUAAAUCGAAAUUUUUAAUCAGGUCGAAGUAUAAUCAAUAAAUUUCAUUUUUAAGAGUUAAUUAGAAAAUAUUUGAAUAUCGACUAAUGCAGAUUCUUUAAGAAAUAAGAAUAUAUCUACUUAUAGAUUAAUAAAGACUCCUCCACCAAAUUUUUGUAGAUAAUUAUGAAUAAUAUAUUCGAUAAGAAUUUAUCUUUCGGAUUUUCAAUUGGGUGAAAUAAAAAAAGUCAAAGCUGUUUGGAUGAUGACUUAACAGGCACGGACGAAAUCCGAUCGUCUAUAAAUAGAGAAAGUCCUCCAAAGUCGAAACACAACUCACUUUUCUGCGCGGACUAUACAACCUAUACACACAACUCUCGUACUUUCCAAGUCUAGUAGUAGCCCUUUGAUUUCUGCUUCAAAUACCUCCUCUCUCUCUCUCGUCUCUCUAUAUACACACAUAUCGCGCUUACUUAAAUAUACCCAGAUAUCAAAGAUCGUUUCUUUCCAAGUUUUUCAAGGUACUAAUUUUUAGUCUUUUGCUUAUUAUAUCUCUUUUUAUUGAAUUUUGAGCCCUGAUUAUGUAUGUGUGUUUAAUUGUGCAUGCUGAUGUGGGUUUUUGUUGGUUUAAUCGAUGCUAGUUUGUGCUAAUUAUGUGAUUUUUUUGGAUAUUUAUGCUCUGUUUGUGUGGAAAUUUGAUGUUGUAGUUAGAAUCGGUGGUCUUAUUGGUUUUGAAUUGUGAUUUGAUUUUAAAAGAUGCUAUCUUUUUCGAGUUUUUGAUGUUUGGAGUAGUGGCGUUAAUUGGGUUAAAAUCAUGGCUUGGUAUGAAAAGAUGAUGUGUUUUUCAGGGUAUUUGUUGUUGUAAUAAUGUUGUGAGGAUUACUUAGAAGGUGUAAUUGGUAUAGGUUUUUGAUGUGAAGAUCGAUAUUGCUUUGAGUUAUGAUGUGGAGGGUUAAUUGUUCGAUCACAUAGAUUGUUUUAGUAGGAUUGUAAAUGGAAUAACUUUUUAUUGAGUUGGUUUAUUUGAAUUUUGUAGAACUUGAUGGAUAAUUAGGCUUGAAUCAAGUUUAUCUUUCAACGGUGAAGUUCAGUACUUGGAUGUUUAUGAAUAUCAAUUUAAUUAAUAAUGGUAAAUGGACAUGCUUUCAAUUAAUUUUGGUAAAUAAAGAUGCUCUCACAGGUUAGCUGGACUAUCUCUCAUAAGUUACGAAUUGUUCAAUACAAUCGAUUAGUAGCCCACAGACCUAUUUUUGUCUGAAAAUUCUUAACCUAUUUUUAAUAUUUGAUAUAUAAUUUAUGACUUGAAAGUGUCAAAUUAAAAGAUUGAGCGGAGACAUUGAGACCUUGAGAGAGCAUACAUAAGCCUGAAGAGGGCAAGACCUUUAGAGUCCAUAGACCAGACAUAUUUGUGACUAGUUUUUGACUUAUAGUUAGCAUAAGGUAUCUCAAGGAAGUGCUGUAAUUUCUGAGCACACAAAGGUAUAUCUACAUAUAAAUGUGUAUGUAUUAGAUGGAAUUGCUGCAUUAUUACUUCUGCAUGGGAUGAGUUGAGCUUUCUGUCCUGGUGGUAUUUUUUAUGUCAUCUUGCAUCAUGAGGUAUAGGCACAUAUUUACUUGUGAUUUUAUUAUUUCUAGCAGAUUCUAUUUUGAUUCCAGAUUCUGUACACCUACAUGACCUUGACGAUGCCAUCCGUUAGUCCUGACUCAUCUGAUCAGGAUAGAGAACCAUUUGUUGAGGUUGAUCCAUCUGGACGUUUUGGUCGAUACAGUGAUCUACUAGGUGCUGGUGCUGUUAAAAAGGUAUAUAGGGGGUUUGAUCAAGAGGAAGGUCGAGAUGUUGCAUGGAAUCAGGUACGUCUGAGGAAGUUUUGCGACGAUCCGUCCAUCAUCAGUAGGCUUUUCUCGGAAAUUGAGUUGCUGCAAACACUGAAGAACGAGAACAUCAUUGUUCUAUACAGUUUCUGGAAAGACGUUGAACAUAAUACUUUGAACUUCAUUACUGAGGCAUGUGCAUCCGGAAAUCUUAGGGAUUACAGGAAGAAGCAUCGCCAUGUGUCAGUGAAGGCUUUAAAGAAGUGGUCGAGACAGAUACUGGCUGGUUUGGACUAUUUGCAUAACCAUGACCCAUGUAUAAUUCAUAGGGACCUGAAUUGCAGCAACAUAUUCAUUAAUGGAAAUAUUGGAAAGGUAUCUCCUUUUCUUCUCACUUAUAAUUUUCCUUCUAAUAACAUAUAUGGUUUAUGUUCUAGUUCCCAUGUCGUGAGGAUCUGAAUAACUUCCCCUUUCCAUAUGUUCUAGUUCCCAUGUCGUGAGGAUCUGAAUAACUUCCCCUUUCCCCCCUUUUUUUUUUUUUUCCCUGUAUUCCUAUAGUUCUUUCUGCUGAUUUCUCGUAAAUAUCAGUUGGCUACCUUGUAUUUUUCAUUCCACACCUUUGAAUUAAUUUUGUAACAAUGUUGUAAUAUAAUCACAGGUCAAGAUUGGUGAUCUUGGAUUAGCUACAGUGGUAGGGAGGAGCCAUGUUGCUCAUUCACUGCUAGGGACACCCGAGUAUAUGGCGCCAGAGCUGUAUGAAGAGGACUACACGGAGUUGGUAGACAUAUAUUCAUUUGGUAUGUGCUUGCUUGAAAUGGCUACGAUGGAAAUACCAUACAGUGAGUGUGAUAGCAUCGCCAAAAUAUACAAGAAGGUUACAAGUGGAGUGAAACCUAAGGCCAUUGACAAAGUAAGUGAUCCAGACUUGAAGGCAUUUAUUGAAAGAUGCAUUGGUCAGCCCCGAGCAAGACCGUCUGCCUCCGAACUUCUGAAGGAUCCUUUCCUCGCAGAAACAGAGAAUACUGAAACCGACAGUACUAUUAUUUGAUAGUGUUCACCUGGAAAUGAAUUGUAGAUGAAAGCCCGACUCUAAUCUCUCUGAUGUACACAUGUUUCAAGAUUUUUCCGCAAGGUUAAUGUCUCUAUUUAUAUGUAUAUAAAUUCCUGAUGCCUGAUGUUUGUUCUUUCCAUUCCAUUUAUUGGCAUAACAUAAUAAUUUCUGAACAUAUUUCUGAUACUAAAAUGAUAUAAAGCAUCAACAAAGUAUUUCCUCUCAUGUAAUUUGCUAUCUUUGUUCGGGUUCGGGUUCAUGACAGAUGUUCGUUAUAUCGUAAAACUUUUUUGCCUCUAUUGUUUGUAGCUUAAGCGAUUCUUAUCACAGAAAUGUUCACACAAAUAUGCAUCGAAGGCAUGUUCUUCCAGCAUUUAAUAAAUUCAGAACAAUGUGUGAUGCAAGCAUAUAUACUUAAAAAAACAUAUAAACUAGGCAUAAAAUCCUUGGGAUUGAGAAUUGCCUAGUCUAAGCAAACAAAACAGCCCAGUUUGCUUACAACUUACAAGCCGUGCCGUUGUGGGUGUAUGCUUAUUCCACAACCCAAACAAAACUUCACCCGCACUUCAUCUCAACUCUCACCUUUUCAUUAUCUCCAUUUGCACCCCCAUAAUAUUCAACUCCCUCACUUCCACCUUUUCUCCAUCCCCAUACCACCAAAUUCCACCUCUUCUGCUAUCCAUGGUUUUCAUGCACAACACAUACUAUAUACAUAUUUAUCAAAUGACCAUAUGCCUGGGAAGCAUGAGUACGGAUGCGGGUAGAGAAGUGAGUGCUACAGGGAUACGGAAAUUCGACAAAUUUAAAACAUAUGGAGAUUGAGGUGUGUGGGGAUUCGACAAAUAUUACUAUAUUAAAAAAAUAUAUUAUGCAUGUAUUUCAAGAGUUAUACCUAUAUUUUAAUUAAAUAAUCAAAUUAAUAAGUUCAAUAUCCGUAACAGUUUAUAUUAUGAUUAUUUGAUAACAUAAUUAUUACAUUAUAUAAUAAUUAAGUUACAAAAUAUUCAACUAAUUACAAAAUUAAUCAUUAAUUUUUUUUUUGGAUAAUCUUGGACACUCAAGAUUCCCAAGAAAUGGAGUGCGUUGUGCGGUGGGUUGGUCCCGAUACACUGGCUACCGGGUUGUGAGAGUUGAGGUCGCUAAGGUCUGAUGGGGUGCACUGUUUCGAGAAGCGUUUUUCGAGGCUUAAAACUAGGAUUUUAUGCUUCACUCGUGCGCCUAAGACUUUGACUGGAGUCUGGGCAUAUAUAAUAAGAUUGCCCCCCUUGUCCUAGUCUUAAACAAAGUCUGAUGAAAUUUACUUAGCUGGUUUUCUUCAUUUCUUGAAAUUGAGAGAAUAGGCUCUGUCUCUGUUACCAUUUGAACAAGAUUUGUAUUUUUUGUUCUUGUUACAUUUUAUGAGCUACUUCUUGCAAUGGAUUCUGGCAGUUCGAAACACAGUUAUUCGCUGCAUUCAAGUCCUUUUUCGUCUCCAAAAGUUUCUGCACUUCUAAAAAUCAAGAUUCUUUCAUGGUAUGUUGGUUGUUAAUUGUUAAACAUUCUUAAUUACUAGUCUACUAAAUGCUUUGAAUGCAGCUUGCGGUUUUUGUUGAGAACCAGUCCAUCUAAAAUCUCGAGGUGUUAGAGGAAGGUCCUGAAUGGAUCUUAUGCUAUAUUUCAUUUGUUGAGCAGAAACUAAAAAAUGUCUGUUCAACUGAUUUAAUUUACAGGAGCCAGGAGAGCGGUUUACCUAUAUCUGUUCGUGUUCAUGUUGCCGGUAGAACAUUUAACCUUCACAAGGUAAGAUGAAUGUUAAUUCGGAAUCAAGGGCUUAGCUACCUGAAUGCAAUUGUAAAAUUAUAUAAAAUUUGAUGUCUGCAAGUUUUUUUUUUUUUGUUCGAGUGUUUAAAAAAUUUUGUUACUUGUUAUGGUUCAGUAUCCACUGUUUACGAAAAGCAAGUACUUGAACAGAAAAUUGAGAGAUUCAAAUGAGGUAGAGCUACCAAGAGAUUUUCCAGGAGGACCAGAAACUUUUGAGAUGAUUGCCCUUUUCAUCUAUGGAGCUUCCACUUUAGUCAAUCCGUUUAAUGUUGCUGCACUUAGAUGUGCAGCAGAGUUUCUUGAGUUGAGAGAAGAGAGUAACUCCCGGAACCUGUGUGAAAGGUUUGAUAUUUAUCUGAACCAAGUUGCAUUGCAGAACUGGAAUGACACUUUGAUUGUUCUCCGAAAGUGUGAAACAUUGCUUCCAUGGGCAGAAGAGCUUCGAAUUGUGAGCCGUUGCAUAGAGUCUCUUGCAUUUAUGGCUUGCAUGGAGAUUCUUGAUCCUGAAAGGAGGAGGGACCAGCCAGUAGUCACACUGGAGGCUUUGGCUAGUCAAGCUUGGAGCCAUCAAAUAGUGGAGGAGAUCGUGGAUGUCUGGAUUAAAGAUCUUAUUGCUUUGCCAUUUAGGUUUUUUCAAAGAAUAAUCAAGUCUUUAAGAAGACAAGGUAUGAGGGAUAAGUAUGUUGCUCCCAUCAUUCUUUUUUACGCGAAUAAGUGGGUUUUGUCUUUAAAGACAGGCAACUUCAGGGAGAGUUCUGGUGAUACAAAUAGCCAGAGUCUGGCUAUUUUACAAGGUGUUGUUAGUUUGCUGCCUAUGGGAGAAAACGCUAGUAAGAUCAUACCUGUUGGGUUUUACUUUUCGUUGCUUUCAAAGUGUCUGGAACUUGGCCUAACAAAUGAUACUAUUAAUGCAAAGUUAAAAGAUUUAAUUGUGUCUCUAUUAAAUACCGCUUUUCUUGAGGAUUUUCUUCUGCCAACAACUGAGACAGGUUCAUUCUCUUCCAGCUUUGAAUUAGUCACUAUGGAGAGUAUUUUCUAUUCAUAUGUAUCAGUUAACAUAAGCUCGAGCAGUACCCCAUUGCCAAGUAUGACUAUUGUUGCAGAACUAUGGGACAUGUAUCUUGGUCAUAUAGCUACUGAUCCAGUAAUGAGCUCUAAACGAUUUAUGGAUCUUAUUGAAAUUGUGCCGAUGUCUAGUAGGCAAAACCAUGAUUAUCUUUACAGGGCACUGAAUACCUUCCUUCAGGUAAGCUGCUCCAUCUUUUGAGAAUCAUCCUUGAUUUCAUGUUCAGUUCUGACAAUUAUUACUGCAAACUAAAAUGGAAAUAUCAUAUUUCAUAGUUUCUAUCGGAUUUAUUCAGGUGCACCUUGACUUGUCGGAAGAAGAAAGAGAAAUGAUAUGCAGGGACCUUAAAUGCCAGAAAAUGUCACAAGAGAUUUGUGUUGAAGUAGUUCAAAAUGAGUUGAUGCCACUGCGGUUGAUUGUCCAAGCACUUUAUGUUCAGCAACGAAGCACACACCAAGCGCUCAAAGAUUGCUCUGAGUCUUUCAGAUAUACAGUUUCCAGCAAAUUCUCAGAAAACUUGGCAAGAAGCCAAAUUCUUGGUGCAAGUCCAUAUAUAGAAGGAGAAGAAACAUGCAGCAGAACCCUUAGUUUUUUGCUGCAGAGAGACUUUGCAAUGGAAAGCUCUGAGGCCUCGAUGGAUGACUACAAGUCCACAACUUGUAGAAUUCAGAAUCUUGAACAUGAACUCAUAACCUUAAAGGAGAAAAUUGAAGUACAGAACUUCUCAAAGAGUAUAAAUCAACCGACUUCAGAAAAACAACAGAGCUUAAAACCAUAUUGUUUGGGAGCAAGAACGUUGAGCAAGAAGAGAAAUCCGAUUGGACACGGGACAGGUUGCAUAGGCUCUCUGAAUUUCAUAUCUCAAAGGAAGUAUGUCAACAAUUUACUGAAGGUUUUCAGAAGCUUACAUUUGCUAGGAAGCAAAAAGAAGAAGAAAAAACCCCGAGCCCCAAGUCUAUGGCAAAAGUAAAUGUAACAUGUUAAGUAUAGUUUUGUUAUUUUAAUAACUAUGUCAAUGUACUUUCACUUGCUUGAUUAGUAGAAGAAAAUUCUGCAAGUAUUUGGGUUUUCUGUACUUCGACUUUGUAUAAGUGUGUAGUUAUAGUUAUGAAAGGCCUCUUUAACAUGUUAAUCAAAAGCAACAAACUAGCUAUAUGACUAUAUGACCAAGAUAUAUGUCCCAUAGCUCUGCAACAAUAGACAAUACUUCUGUGGGACAUAUAGCUACUGAUCCAGCAUGGCUCUUUGUGUAGUCAAGCAUUCAGAGGUGUCCUGGUCAGAGAAGUGCAACUGAUUCACUGCAGUUCCGAAGAUCAGAAUUCUUGAUAAUCAUCAGGAGUUCAAUAUUUAUGCCAUAAGUAAGGACCAGGAACAUCUCUUCUGGCAGUUUGUUAGGCACCUAUCUGUUAGCAGAUCUAUUGUAAAAUUAAGCAUGAUUUCCUGCAAUGUGUUGCUGCUAUGCAGUAUAAUCGAGUCCAUGUUUAUCAAUAGAAAAUAUCUCCAACAUUCUAAAAUUGUGUUUUCUCAUACAUAUGGUAUGUAGUGUUUUUAUAUGUCUAACAGAACGCGAUCACAGAGAUGAUGCUGUUGGAUUAUAUAAUCUUAUCUUGUGUAUACUAGAAUAUUCCUCCACUGAUUAAAGGGAUGGAAUAUAGACUUAUCAGCAGUCCAUAAGUAGCAAUAAUGGAGGAAUCAUCAAAGCAGAGGAUCUUAUCUAAAUAAGGAAAGAAUCAUCAGUCAAUUUCAGUCUCAUGGGAUUCAACUCAUCAUUUGCUAUAAAUUGCGUUGAAGGAGAGAGUUCUAUCCAGCAGCAGCAAUACCAGAGAUCGAAAGGUACUCUUGAGAACAGAGUUCUGAAGAUCAUCAAACAAUGGCUCAACUAGUUCAAAUCUGUGAUGUCAAGCCAAAUCUUGUGACUGUCCCGCAUUGCAAGAACACCAUCGAUGUUCAGCACCUCAAGGCAAGUGAUCAUGAAAUUUUAGACUGAAAUUGCAGAAAACAUAUAUGAUCAGUGUAGUUACUGAUAGAUAUUGAAAUAUAUAAUGCUAAUCUUUUUUUCAUAACUAAAAUGCAGAAUGGUACUGAAUAUGUGAGGGCAUGCGCUCUUCAGUUGGAAGGGAACUGGCAAAAACAGUAAGUGUGCAGAAGCAAUUAGGUUUCAGAAAUAUGCAUUUCUAUUCUAAAUAUAUUUCUGAAUAUCUGAUCAAAUUCAUUAAAUAUAUUUGCAGUGGAACUUACAUUGAGUUACUAGAGAGCACCGACUUCAAAGUUAGCGGAGAAUGUCAGCUGAGAGCUGGAGAAGACCCUUAUGUAGGCCAUUUUGUGGUCGGGCUGGCAAAGCACCAUAGCAUGGGAAAAGUGAAAACUGAGAAAAGCCCUCCUUAUGAAGAGUCCGAAGAGGACUUCACUUGUCAUUUGCCUGGGAUAAUGACACCUAUUGCUAGAGGUGGCAAAAUGUGGUUUUGGUUUGGUUUUGGUUCUUAUAAAAUGUAUUUGGUUUGGAUAGAUGAACCAAAACCAUUUUCAAACCAUAUAUUAAUAAAUGUGGUUAUGGUUUUAGUUUGAAUUAUGGAUAACUAGUUUAGUAAGCAAAAAUAAAUAUUAUAUAAUGAACAAAAGUUAAUACACUCAAAUCACAAUAUAAUGAAUACUAAAUAUAUAACAAAAGUGGGUGUGAGUGUGUGAGUUGAUGGAGUGGUUUAAGCUCUUGGCUUCUCCAAGUAAGGUCAUGAGUUCGAAUCAUGGGAUGUGCAUGUGUGAUAAUUAGCAAAAAGAAAGAAAGAAAAGAAAAGGAGCAAAAAGAAAGAAAGAAAAGAAAAGGAACAUAAUAGUGUGUGUGGAGAGUUAUAAGAAAUCUUAAAAGUGAGACCAAAUAUGGUUAGAACCAUAUUUUGUGAGAAAUAUGAGACUAGAAACCAAACCAAAUCCAUUUUUCUAAAUGUGAUUUCAAAUAGAUCCAAAUUCACAAUUUUGUUUUGGUUUGGAUUGGAUUAAUGGUUUUGCAUCCAUAUUGCCACCUCUACCUAUUGCACUAGGUCCUUGUGACGAUGAAUAUGUCAAAUUUUCGCUCACCAGUGCUGAACCCUACUGGAAACUGCAGAAAGGCCUGAUCAUAUAUGGUGUUACUUUCACUCCUAUGGAAAUGGCUUAAUAUAAAUGUGAUCAAAGUAGCCAUAAGCGUGUCAAAUGUCAAGCUCAUAGCUUAUGUUGUUUCAGUUCAUUUCAUGCAUGUAAUAAUGAAAUAAUUACAUUAACACCAGCAAGGUUGUUAAUGUACUAUGAAAUAAAGAGAUUAAACCAUAACUACCAUUAGGUAGAUGGUUUAUCCUUCUAAUUAAAUCCUUCCAUCUAUUCGACCUUAUUGACUACUUUACAUCUAGCUAUUGGUUACUCUCUCCUAUUUUGUGUGAACCAUCAACUUGCACUAUCUGAUUGAAAUUGAGUCAAACAUUCAUUUAAACCAAGGACAGAUGAAGCAGAGUAAUGUUUCACAAUGCUGUGCAUAUUAUUAACAAACUCAAAUGCACAAACAAACUAAGAACUUACUUUACGAAGACCAAGAAUACUGUCUCAUAUUAUCAAUUAUCAUAGAAAGUUUUAAAGUGAUUUUGUUAAGAAAUGAAUAAGGCAAGAGGAGUAUACUAUUGAUACAUCGAGUAAUUUAUUCACCUUGCAAUGGAUUAAAUUUUUUGUUAAUUAUUUUAUAUUUAGACGUAAGAGUAAGAUCUAUUCUAUUAUUGUCUAAUUUCAGUAUUACUCAAUUUAAAAUACUUUCGUUUAGAUAUGUCAAUUUUCGUUAACGGAAUUUAGACAAAUUUAAUUUGAGGUCCGAUAAAAUAUGACUCAGAUUCUUUUUUCAAAUCUUCAAUUAGAUUUUAUUAAACAAAAAAUCCGAGUUAUAUCGAAUUAUUUUUAGCUAAUUAUUAUGCAAUUAAAAUAAACAUCCUUUAAAUAAAAAGUUAUAUUUUAAAAUAUAUUAUUUAAUCAAAUAAAUAAUAAUUAUCUGAUUUCAAAAUAGAUACAUGACAACCGUUUUUUUUAACCAAAUUAUUAUAGAUAAUCCAGAGUUCAAAUCUCAUUAACAAAUUAAUUUAAAUAACAUCCUAUCAAACACAUAAUUUAUUUUUAAUUUAUUUUUAAUCUCUGAUUAGUUUUUAAAAAUUCUAAUAUUUCUAUUUAUAAAAAUAUUUUUAUAAAUUUUUCACUUUAGUUGUAUAAAUAAUUAUCAUUUAAUUUAUUAUAAUCCAAUUAUAAAGUCAUUUAUGUAAAUGUAAUUAUAAAAUAUAUUAAAAUUAUUGUAUGCUUUUUAAUAUAAAAUAAAGAAGGAUAGAAUUUGAUUUUUAUUGAUAGCAUGUUAUUGUAACUUAUUUUCUUUUAAAUGUAACUUAUUUUAUUUUAAAUCGUUUAGUAAUUAUUAUUUGUGUCUCUAUUUUUGUCUUUUCCAUUACAAAUAAUUAUUAAAAUUUUAGUAAUAUAGUUUUGCAUAAAAUUUAAUUUAUGAUUCAUUAAUAAUAAAUAAAUAUUAUACUUAUUAAAGAACAUAAUUGCAUAAAUUCAAAAUGUUUAAAUAUUUAUAUAUUAAAAUUAUGUGAACUUAUAUUUAACAUAUUUUAAGUGAUAUAUUCUAAACCUAUAGUUAAGUGUCUAUAGUUUCUAUGGACUUUUCGGUGGUUAUAUACUUAUAUUACAUCGAUUUUAUUAAUAAAAUAUUUUUAAUUCAACUAAUUUUAUUAUACAAAAUAUGACAAAAGAAUUCAAGAUCAAUUAAUAAUAUUAACUGAUCUCUACAGUUAUAUUAAAUAAGAAAUUAUCACUUUAAACAUUAAAAUUAUUGUUAAACUUAAUCAUUAUGACAUGUGAAUCUUAUUAUAUCUGAUUUAUAAGUACAGAAGGGAUCUUGUUUAACUUAACUCAUCACCUGUGUGUGAAUAAAUACACCUGCUCUAAAUUCCUCUGUGAAUAAAAUACACAUGUCCAAACAUGCGCAUUUAAAGGACUUGAUAGUUUGUAGCCUCUGCUAAAUUCCUCCAAAUGGAAAUAAAUCACAUAGCUCAUAUUUAGCUUAUGGCAUGGCUAGAUUCCUUCACUCACUGAGACACAUGCAUCUUUUAAUAGAGAGCUCAUGUUAAGCCUUGCCAUGUGCCAGAUUCCUUCACUGAAUAAAGGAAAGCAGCUGGAAACAAUCCGUAAGUAGCCAUAAUGGAGGAAUCAUCAAGCUAAAGGAUGCUCAACCUAUCUAGAUAAGGCAAGAAUCAUCCUCGCCCAGUCUCUGUCUUGUAAGAUUUAUUAGAAUAAUACAUGAUCCUGAUAAGCCCUCCUCCCAAAGGUUUUGAGAGCUUGAACUGAUAUCGGUUAUUGGUAUAAAAGGACUUGUAGCAACAGUACUACGAUUGAGGACAUACUCUUAAAAGCAGAUAUAAUCUACGCAAUGAUGGCUCAACGAGUUCAAAGUGAUCUUAAGCAAGAUGUUGUGUCCCCCACACAUUCCAAGAACAGUACUCUUCAACACCUCAAGGCAAGUGAUCAUGAUAUUUUACUCAAAUUGCAGAGAGAAUAUAUGAUCAGUACUGUGGUUACUGAUUGAUAUUAGAAUCUGUUAUGCUGAAUUUCUUUUUUCUUAUCGUUAAUAUUCAGAAUGGUACUGAAUAUUUGAAGGCAAGCGCUCUUCAGCUCGAAGGGAACUGGAAAAACCAGUAAGUGUAGGGAAGCAUCUAAAUGCUUUACAAAAACUUAUAUUAAUCAAGUUACAUAUUAAUAAUGUGAUUAUCCGCAGUGGCACUUACAUUGAGUUAUAUGAGAGCUCUCAAUUUAAAGUUAGCGGAGAAUGUGAGCUGAAAGCUGAAGAAGGUCCUUAUGUAGGGCACUUUCUGGUUGGGCUGGCAAGGGAUCACAACAUGGGAAAAGUGAAAACUAAAAAAAGCCCUUUCGAGGAGGAGAACGAAGAGGACUGGACUAAUCAUGCACCUGGAAUGUUGGCACCCAUCAGCAUGGGUAUUUGUGACGACGAAUAUGUCAAAUUCUCCCUUGCCAGUGCUGAACCCUACUGGAAAAUGCAGAAAGGCCUAAACAUAUACGGCGUUGUUUUUACUCCUUUGAAAAAGAAAUAAUAUGUGAACAAAGUAGCCAUGAGACUGUCAAGCUCAUGGCUUAUGUUGUUUAAGUUCAUCCUGCAUGUAAUAAUAUGAAAUAAUCACAUUAGCAUCCCUGCACCAGCUAGGUUGUUUAAUGUAGUAUGAAAUAAAGAGAUUAAAACCAUAACUACCAUUAGGUAGGUGGUUUGUUCUUCUAAGCAAAUCCCUCUGUUUCUUCGACCUGAUUUCACUACUUUCAAUCUAGCUAUACACAAAAUUUGUAGGGAACAAAAAAAUUACUAGUACCCCAGGAAAUUGGUGUUCUGCAAAAUUCUGAACCAGAUUAUUGAUCAAGACAAGCCAGAAGACUCUGAACAGAUAAGGGUUAGUGAAUAAACCGACAUUUCAUUCGAGUGAGAAUGUCACUGGUUUAAGGCUUUAAGCAAGUGCUGAGAAUUGUAUUAGUUGAACUUAGACGGAUAUCAUGCAUUUAAAAUUUUCACAAUGAACUCUGAGAAAAUUUGGAUCUACUAUCUACAUGAGACGAAACACACAAAAUACAAAAAGUUGAACAGGCGAAUUAAGAGAUUAAUAAGAGUAAUCUGCAUUUUGGCAGACAUCAUAGCGGUAAACCACCUGACAGUCCGGAUCAUUAGCCAGAACAAAAGAUAGCUCAAUUUGUGCAUAUUAAUUUAUCAGUGUGAUGAAUAGUUUAAUUCCCACAUAAAUUUUAAAAAGGACAAAAGAACACUCGGACCGUUUAACAGAUGGAUGAUGGAUUGUUGUUAUCUAUAUCUGAUGUAUACAAUUCAAAUGGUUUCCACUAAAAUUUUGCCGUGAAAAAAUGCUAAUUUUAACCGAUUUUAAUUUCGACUGAAUCCUAUCAAAAUUAUAACUUGUCAAAACUAUUAUGUCAAAAUUAAUAAUUUCGACAAAAUUAUUUUAUGUCGAAAUUAAUCUUAACCUCGACAGGUAAGAUGAUCUGUUAAAAAUAUUCUUGGGUAAUUGAAGAAGGGUAGUUUCCUGUCUGGCAAUCGAGUGGGGGGUAUUGCUGCGUUCUGAAAACUUUGAAUUUAUUUUAUUUAUUGAUUAGAGUAUAUCAAGUUCAUGUUAAAACGACUUUGAGCUUCUUCUUUAAACAAUUCGACUCAUGUUAAAGAGUUCAAGUAUUCUGAAGGACGAGGGAAGCCAAGGUCAUUAAUUAACAAACAAACAAAUUUAUUGUUUAAAGAGUAUAUGAUCAAGUUCUUCCAUCUUCUUUAAACAAUUCGACUCCUGUUAAAGAGUUCAAGUAUUCCGAAGGAUGACAGAAGCCAAGCUCAUUUAUCAAACAAACAAACUUAUUGUUUAAACCUUAGCUUGAUAUCUUGACCAAAAAUUUAGCUAGGGUUAAAAGUCUAGGUCGGGUUUUAGUAAGAGAUAAAGAGCAUAUACGUGCUUCCCCAACAGCUCAAAGAGUAUAUAAUAAAGCUUAGAAGAGCCAUCUCAAGAGCAUAUAUUUCAAGUGAUGGUAAGCAAGUAAUUACUAUAUCAUAAAAUAGUAUACUUUUAGAUGCAGCUUUCUCUUACUUUUUGAUUAAACAGCUUAUUUUUCAUUAAUAUUUAAGAAAAAUAUUAUUUUCUGGGGAAACCCCUCUCCGAUAAUGAAGUAUUGCAAUAACAGUAUAUAGCUAGAUGUGAAGUAGUGAGGUGAGGUUGAACAGAUGGAAGGAUUUACUUAGCAGAAUAAACCACCUACCUAAUGGUAGUUAUGGUUUUAAUUUCUUUAUUCAUAGUACAUUAACAACCUUGCUGGUGCAGGGUUGUUAAUGUAUUUAUUUCAUUAUUACAUGCAUUAUAAACUUAAACAACAUAAGCCAUGAACUUGGCAGUUGACACACUUAUGGCUACUGUGAUCACAUUCUAAACCAUUUCCAUAGGAGUGAAAGUAACACCAUAUAUGAUGAGGCCUUUCUGCAUUUUCCAGUAGGGUUCAGCACUCGUGAGAGAGAAUUUGACAUAUUCAUCGUCACAAAGACCAAGAGCGAUAGGNUCACAUUAGCAUCCCUGCACCAGCUAGGUUGUUUAAUGUAGUAUGAAAUAAAGAGAUUAAAACCAUAACUACCAUUAGGUAGGUGGUUUGUUCUUCUAAGCAAAUCCCUCUGUUUCUUCGACCUGAUUUCACUACUUUCAAUCUAGCUAUACACAAAAUUUGUAGGGAACAAAAAAAUUACUAGUACCCCAGGAAAUUGGUGUUCUGCAAAAUUCUGAACCAGAUUAUUGAUCAAGACAAGCCAGAAGACUCUGAACAGAUAAGGGUUAGUGAAUAAACCGACAUUUCAUUCGAGUGAGAAUGUCACUGGUUUAAGGCUUUAAGCAAGUGCUGAGAAUUGUAUUAGUUGAACUUAGACGGAUAUCAUGCAUUUAAAAUUUUCACAAUGAACUCUGAGAAAAUUUGGAUCUACUAUCUACAUGAGACGAAACACACAAAAUACAAAAAGUUGAACAGGCGAAUUAAGAGAUUAAUAAGAGUAAUCUGCAUUUUGGCAGACAUCAUAGCGGUAAACCACCUGACAGUCCGGAUCAUUAGCCAGAACAAAAGAUAGCUCAAUUUGUGCAUAUUAAUUUAUCAGUGUGAUGAAUAGUUUAAUUCCCACAUAAAUUUUAAAAAGGACAAAAGAACACUCGGACCGUUUAACAGAUGGAUGAUGGAUUGUUGUUAUCUAUAUCUGAUGUAUACAAUUCAAAUGGUUUCCACUAAAAUUUUGCCGUGAAAAAAUGCUAAUUUUAACCGAUUUUAAUUUCGACUGAAUCCUAUCAAAAUUAUAACUUGUCAAAACUAUUAUGUCAAAAUUAAUAAUUUCGACAAAAUUAUUUUAUGUCGAAAUUAAUCUUAACCUCGACAGGUAAGAUGAUCUGUUAAAAAUAUUCUUGGGUAAUUGAAGAAGGGUAGUUUCCUGUCUGGCAAUCGAGUGGGGGGUAUUGCUGCGUUCUGAAAACUUUGAAUUUAUUUUAUUUAUUGAUUAGAGUAUAUCAAGUUCAUGUUAAAACGACUUUGAGCUUCUUCUUUAAACAAUUCGACUCAUGUUAAAGAGUUCAAGUAUUCUGAAGGACGAGGGAAGCCAAGGUCAUUAAUUAACAAACAAACAAAUUUAUUGUUUAAAGAGUAUAUGAUCAAGUUCUUCCAUCUUCUUUAAACAAUUCGACUCCUGUUAAAGAGUUCAAGUAUUCCGAAGGAUGACAGAAGCCAAGCUCAUUUAUCAAACAAACAAACUUAUUGUUUAAACCUUAGCUUGAUAUCUUGACCAAAAAUUUAGCUAGGGUUAAAAGUCUAGGUCGGGUUUUAGUAAGAGAUAAAGAGCAUAUACGUGCUUCCCCAACAGCUCAAAGAGUAUAUAAUAAAGCUUAGAAGAGCCAUCUCAAGAGCAUAUAUUUCAAGUGAUGGUAAGCAAGUAAUUACUAUAUCAUAAAAUAGUAUACUUUUAGAUGCAGCUUUCUCUUACUUUUUGAUUAAACAGCUUAUUUUUCAUUAAUAUUUAAGAAAAAUAUUAUUUUCUGGGGAAACCCCUCUCCGAUAAUGAAGUAUUGCAAUAACAGUAUAUAGCUAGAUGUGAAGUAGUGAGGUGAGGUUGAACAGAUGGAAGGAUUUACUUAGCAGAAUAAACCACCUACCUAAUGGUAGUUAUGGUUUUAAUUUCUUUAUUCAUAGUACAUUAACAACCUUGCUGGUGCAGGGUUGUUAAUGUAUUUAUUUCAUUAUUACAUGCAUUAUAAACUUAAACAACAUAAGCCAUGAACUUGGCAGUUGACACACUUAUGGCUACUGUGAUCACAUUCUAAACCAUUUCCAUAGGAGUGAAAGUAACACCAUAUAUGAUGAGGCCUUUCUGCAUUUUCCAGUAGGGUUCAGCACUCGUGAGAGAGAAUUUGACAUAUUCAUCGUCACAAAGACCAAGAGCGAUAGGUGUCAUUAUCCCAGGCAAAUGAUUAGUGAAGUCCUCUUCGUUCUCUUCAUCAGGAGGGCUUAACUCAGUUUUCACUUUUCCCAUGUUGUGGUGCUUUGCCAGCCCGACCACAAAAUGGCCUACAUAAGGGUCUUCUCCACCUUUCAGCUGACAUUCUCCGCUAACUUUGAACGUGGCGCUCUCUAGCAACUCAAUGUAACUUCCACUGCAAAUAUAUUUAAUGAACAUGAUUAUAUAAUUUUUUAAACAGAAAUGUGUAUAUAUAUAGAUACUUCUGAAAUCCUAAUUUGCUUCUCCACGCUUACUGUUUCUGCCAGUUCCCUUCCAACUUAAGAGCACACGCCCUCACAAAUACAGUACCAGUCUGCAUAUUGAUUCCAAAAGAAAUUAUUGUAAAAUCAGCACUACAUAAUUUAGUAUCAAUAUUGAUCAAUAUCGGUGCACUCUGAUCUGUGAUCAAAUAUAUUAUAUGCAACUUUCAGUGAAAAAUAUCAUGACUAUGACUUGCCUUGAAGUGUUGAGUAUCAAUGGUGUUCUUGCAGUGCGGGAGAGUCACAAGAGUUGGCUGAACAUCACAAACUUGAAUCUGUUGAGCCAUUGCUUAGAAUUUUUGCUUUUAGUUCUUCCUUGAUCUUAUUGCUGCUGCUAUGCUGUUAUAACUGUCUCUCUUACAAGUCAAUUUAUAGUAACCGAUAUCAGUUCAGUCGUAUAAGGCUAAAACUGAGUGCUGAUUCUUUCCUUAUCUAGAUAAGAUCCUCAUCCUAUAAAUGGUGUGAUGAUUCCUCCAUUAUGGUUUCUCCUGGACUGCUUCCUUCCCAGCUUAGUGGAGGAAUCUAGCACACGCGAUAAGCUUAACAUGAGCAUCGAUCAUCAUCUCCAUGGAUAAAAAGUAGCUAGCAGCACAUAUACCCUUUAAAAAAGGAGCCCUUCUAGGCUCAGUGUUAUAUAAGAUACAUAUCAUAUCAAGUAACUAGUAAAUAAACAUGUGUCAUUCUCUGUGUAGUGCACUUUACCUUCUAAAUAUUCUUAUUGAAAAACUUCUCAUACUAACUUGUUUAUACGACAUUCACUAAUUGGGUGUAUUCACUUCCGGAUUUUUGAGGAUUUUUUUAAUUUAUGAAUUCAUGCAUAUUUAAUUCAGAUUAAGAAUAAUACAUUCUAGAAUCUUUAGCCAUUUAAUCAUAUUAAUUAAAAGAAGAUGAAAAGAAACAUCUAAUGACAUUCGAUCAUAAUUUUAAAUUAUGCUUAAAAAUUCGGUGAUAUUUAAUUAGAAAAAUUUAAAAUACAGGAUCGAAUCUCUCACGUAUACAAAGACUGAUGGAUUCAUUUUUGGCUUAACGAUGGAUUCUAAGAAAUUUGAUAGUGUGUAGUAUCUUUUUUUGAAUUCUCUCCAUAUUUUAUUAGAUUUUAGAAAACUAUACUUACAUCCUAAUAAGGACUCUGCAUCAUCAACUCUACGAGAUUUUAUUUCAACUCCACUAAAUUCUGCAGAAGGUCCUUGCUUAAUAUCUAACUUCUAUCUGUACUCAGAGUCUUCUAACUGUUUUUGAUAAAUACUUUGAUUGCAACUUGUGCAAGCAGGUUGUGAUUUGAGUAUAGUCAAGUUCAAAUGACUUUGAGCUUCUUCUUUAAACUAUAUAACUCUUCUUAAAAAGCUCAAGUUUUCAAAUUGAUCCGGCCAAGCUCAUUAAUAAAACAAACAAUUUUGUUGUUCAAAAAUUAGCUCGAUUACUGGAGAAAAAUUUUAGUCAGGUUCAGAAUUCGAGCUCGAGUUAUAAGUAAGAGAUGUAAGAUUAUAUAUGUGCUUCCACGUGUAUUUCAAGUGUAUAUGCGCAAAAUCCCUAAUUUUCGAAAUAUUUAAUAUUAAAAAUUUAAAACUAAAAUACAAUAAAAUAAAAUAAUCCAAAAAUUCUAUUACAACCAUAUCAAUUACAAAUACACAACUAACGAUACUUUAAUCCACGUGUCAAACUUCUCCAAAUCUAAUAACCUCAACUUCCAAAGCACAUCAACUUGCUCUUAAAUCAAGAUCUGUGACGGUGGCUGGAUACGUACCCCUAGAUUUACAGGGGAUCAAACCGGUAAGUAGUUCUUUUCUCCUAGGAAACCUAAUUAAAUUAGGUUUCCCCUUCAGCUAUCUUUCUCCUGAAAGGAGCCCAAUACGAUGAGGUCUAGUCUUGGGCCUUGUAGACUCUCGAGCACCCAAAAUUUAUCCCAAAUGCAAGGACGCUUCUCUGGGACACCCGUCAGACUACAGAGAUAGAGCCUUCCGGGGCAUAUGUGAAAAUUAUAAAAGGGAUGAGCUACACAGCUUAUCAAGUAACAAUCUGAUUCACAGUUAAUCUCGAAAUUGAAUGUACUAUAAAUUCUACAGAAAAGCUGAUUUGUGUAUGAAAAUACCUACGAAUUUUUGAAUAAAAGUGAAGAAAAAGGUUGGGCGACUGUCAAAAGUAUAUAAAAGAAUGAGGGAACACAACUAAAUAUAUAGAGAGUCUCAAAACCCUAAUUUUAGAGUUACGAAUUACCCGAAUACAAGUUUGAUUCAUAUUUUAGGUCAAUUUUCCUAAUUCAAUUCUAAAUCCUAAUCAUAAUCCAAUUUUAAUCCUUUAUUAAUAUUACUAAUCAAUUAAUAUUAUUCUAAAAAUUACCGGAUACUAACAUAUGAUAGGCAAGUAACAGAAUCAUGGAAUAUAUAGUAUACUUUUAAAUGUUGCUCUUUCUUAAUGAAGUAUUGCAAUAUAUAUUACCAAUAGCUAGAUGUGAAGCAUUGCAAUAUAUAUUACCAAUAGCUAGAUGUGAAGCAGUGAGAUUAGGUCGAACAGAUCAUGGAAGGAUUUAACAAGAAGAAGCAGCCAUGUUAGGUCGAACAGAUAGAAGGAUUUAUUAAGAAGAAUAAACCACCUACCAAAUGGUAGUUAUGGUUUUAAUCUCUUUAUUUCAUAGUACAUUAACAACCUUGGUGGUGUAGGGUUGUUAAUGUAAUUUAUUUCAUAAUUACAUGAAAUGAACUGAAACAACAUGAUAAGCCACGAGCUUGACAGUUAACACACUCAUGGCUACUGUGAUCACAUUCUAAGGCUUUUUCAUAGGAGUGAAAGUAACACCAUAUAUGAUCAGGCCUUUCUGCUUUUUCCAGUAGGGUUCAUCACAGCUGGUUAAACAGAAUUUGACAUUUCCAUCACAAAGACCUAGUGCGAUAGGUUUCAUUGUCCCAGGUUUAUGACAAGUGAAGUCCUCUUCGGACUCUUCAUGAGGAGGGCUUUUUGCAGCUUUCACUUUUCCCAUGUUAUGGUCCUUUGCCAGCCCGACCAUAAAAUGGCCUACAUAAGGGUCUUCUCCAGCUUUCAGCUGACAUUCUCCGCUAACUUUAAAGUCGGUGCUCUCUAGUAACUCGAUGUAAGUUCCACUGCAAAUAUAUUUAAUGAACUUGAUUACAUAAAUUUUCGAACAGAAAUGUGUAUAUAAAUACUUCUGAAACCCUAAUUUGCUUCUCCACACUUACUGUUUCUGCCAGUUCCCUUCCAACUGAAGAGCACAGGCCCUCACAUAUCCAGUACCAUUCUGCAUAUUAAUUCAAAAAUAAAUUAUUGUAAAAUAAGCUCAACAUAUUUUAGUAUCAUAUUUGAUUAAUAUCAGUGCACUCUGAUCAGUGAUCAAAUAUAUUAUAU